rnacentral:lncRNA from 1 species
AAAAAAGCAUUUUUCUAUUCUAUUAAAAGUAAUUUGUACCAAAGAGAUGGUGGUCUAGUAGUAGUAAAAAGAGGUUGGUUUCCUUAUGCUUCGGAUUCAAUAUCUAUUUGGGACGAAAAAACAUUUUUUAAAUAGAAAUGGACUAAAAGCUAGUUUUGGAUAUAAAAAAGAUUAUGGGUUAAAGGUUUGAAAUUCUCUCUCCCUUCUUUUUCCCUUCUCUUUAGGGUUUUUUUCUGGUUGUCUCCGUUUGCCUCUCUGGCUCGUCCUUCCGGCGCCGGAGAGGGCUCUUUCCAUCCGCAAUUAGUUCUAGUUCGCUUUUCUCUCGUCAGUGAGCCGAUUUUCGCCGGUGAAAUUAUCCCCCGUGACAGAUCUGAGCUCUUGUUGGUGGUUCCAGAAGUAGUGGCGGCGCGUGAAGCGUGGAGGAGCCGUUGUGUGGCUGUUGGGGUCUCGAUGGAUCGGUUGCUUGAGGACGGCGCUGAUCCGGUGGUGAUUUCCGGUGGAUCUGGGAUGGGUUCUUUCUCAUGUGUUUGUUCACUUUCCGGUGGUGUGGUGGCUUUGAUGAGGUUGGGGCUCGGGCUAUUCCUCGGAUGAGUAUGUGUGGUUGGUUUCGGCGGCUUGGCUGCCGGAUCUGUUAACCUCUCCCCUUCAGGCGUUACGGUGGCUUCACCAGAGUGUAAGUUUGACUCGUUUGGCGGGUGUGUUUUGGGAUUGCUUUCAUUUUAGGUCUUGGACUUCUUUGGACUCAGCGGUGAGUUAGCUUCGACUUCGGGUGUGGAGGUGAAGUUCCCGUUUCCCUAAGAUGCAGCGGUGACUCUGGUUUUGUGGACGUGUAGACGAUUUGGUCGAGACCUGGUAAAGGACGCCAGUGUGCUCAUCGUAGUGUCUGCGUGCGGCUCAACCACUCAAUUGGAUGUCGUUACUGCGGCGGAAGUCUGGGGAGAUGGGUGGGUUUCGCUCAUGUCCGUUGAUUAACUGAUUGAUCCCUUCGGAUCUUGAAGGCAUGCGUGGGGCACUGGUUUUUGCUCGUUGGAUUGAGAAACCAACUACUCAAACCGGUACGUUUUGUUUUCACGGACACGACAUAUGGGAACCCUAGCUCGGUGAAAUUCUUAGGUCACUGGUAAUGAAACAUGGGGUUACAUCUGAGUGCGUUGGAUUGCUUGGUGUGGGAUCCGACAUCGCGGGACCUUAAAGUCGGAAUCUUGGUCAACUCGGAGGAUCUGUAAUGGGCUUGGUGUUUCGCCGGAGAUGUGACGGGGUAGGAAACCGGAAACUUCUUUCCUUGUUAUCCGCUUCUGGUGAUUCAUCGCAAAAUCGUGGAUCCUGUUUCCGCCGAGAUAGUUGACCGGAGAUUCCGCUUUACGUCGAUCAGCAGGAUGAGAUCCGGUGAUUGUUAUUGGGCUGAUUUUGAGUUUUUCGUUUUUGUACCUUAUUCCCAAUUGUAUGUUUCCAGGCCCAGCCCGUUAGAGAUUGCCCAUUAUAAUAUAGAGUAAAUUUGGAAAAAUAUCCUCUUUUUGUUUAGAUUUUUGAAAAAUACCCUCUUUUUGUUUGUCUUUUUUAAAACAAUUUGUAAAUUUAUAAAAUUACUAAAAAAAUGUAUUGAAACUUAAUAAUAAUUAAUCCAAAGGAUCUAUAUUUUUAAUAUCAAAUCAAUUAAUCGGUAUUAAUUAAAUAUCUAAUUUUUACAAAAUUGUCCGUUGACCAAAUCAUGUUCGUCUUUCACCAUGGAUGUUAUUUUGUAACUUUGAACGUUAUAUAACUAAUAGUUCGAAAGAUUCAUUAUCCUAAAUAUUUUUUAAGAACAAUAAUGAAUAAUAGCAUUCUACCAAUGUUAAGUAUGAUUUUUUGUUAAGUCAUAUGGUGGAGAUUUUAAUGAUUCAUUAUUAUUGAAAACACAUAAAAUAGUUUACUUUGCAAAAAUUUGUUAAAGAGAAUCGUUUAAUUGAAACAAACUUUGGUAAUAUAUUUAGUUAAAAAAUGUGUUUCGUACUUUAGAGAUUUGUUUCUUUAUAUAAUAUGAUAGAUAUUAAGCGAUAGACUUUAUAAUAUUGUUAACAUUUAAUAUAUCAAAAUAAAUAAACUAUUUUUGUGUUAAAAAUAUAUAUAACCAUGAUUAAUAUUAUUUCGAAUUUAGUAUAUAUUUUCUCUAAAUUUUGAUUUUUUAUUUAUUAAAAAAAUAGCUUUAAAUUUAAAUUUGAACAAAAUUGUCAUCUUAUAUAUAAUUGUAAUUUUUAUUAUUAAAAAUAGAAAAAGAGUAUAUUUCAAAGUAUAACUCAAAAACAGGAUAUUUUUCAAAAUCACCCUAUAUAUAUAUAUUUUUUUUAAAAAAGGUUCAAAAUUCUCGCGGUUUAUAUAUAAAAAAAAUUGUAUAGUUUGUGAACGUUAUGUCGUUAUUCUAGCUAUAUCUAUACCAAUCCCAUCUAACGUAUUGAUCCACGCAUAGGAUUCACGAUCCACCCACACGCCUUGACCUAAAAUAUUGCGACAAGAACCACACGUGUCCCAUGGUUCUAUGCUUUAUCAUGUUGUGUAUGUUUUUUAUUACUGUUAGUUUUAUUGAUGCGAUGUUCAUCACUAGUUGACCCUUUUUGUUACUGUCUCAUCGAAGACUUUCCUUUUUCCGGAUAAUUUUAACGUUGAGAUACAAACUUUUCGCGUAAUUACGUCAAUUUUAAGUGGGUCCUUCGUCACGACAACCUUUAAUAUAUUAGCUACCAACCCUUAUUUUUUCAAGUAAAUGCUUCGUCUUCUCUUUCUUUUUUCCUGUAGAGGUUUUGGUCAUUCAUUAAUCAUCCAAUCUCCUAUUCUCUAUAUAGAAUUUUGUGAUGGAAAGUUUUAAGUUUCCACAUUCUAUUAAUUAGUGGUAAACACAAUGAAUAAUUUCCUGAUAUGGUAUAUACUACGAAAGUUUCUCAAUAAAGCAAUUAUUGUUCUUCAUAAGAACUGAUAUUAUCAUAUAUAGCAACUUAUGCUUACUUUCGUAAAUUGCAUACUUUGUGAAAAACGAACCAGAUAAUUUACCUAAAUCUGAUAAAUGAGAAAGCAGCAGAGCAUAUAUCCGCAUCUCUUUAAUGAAUAUUUCCUCAUAUGGGAAAAAGAAAGUGUCAGUGGAGAAAAUACCAGAGAUCAAAUUCUUCUUUCUCAAUUUACUUUCAAUUCAUCAUUUUUGUUCUGUCUCUAAUUUGGAUUAUAUAUACUUAUUGGUGAAAACUCCCAGAAAAAACUCAGAAGUACUUGUUAUGAAACAAUAUAAUUCAAUAAAAAGAUGUAAUGAUAAAAUCUCAAAAAUGUUAUAUAUACGCAUGUUUAAAAAACAAAAACUUAUAUAUAUCAUCAUAAUUCCAAAAAUAUAUAAGUUUUGUAGAAAAUGGCAAUUUUAUUUUGUAAUUUGGACCUUUACAAACCUAGAGAAGACCCUGAUGACAAGGACAAAAACUAUAUUCAAGAGACAAAUAAUUAUUUAUUUCUCAAAAUUAAAGUGUUUAGACAAAUACCAAUAACCAAUAACAGAACCCAAAAAAAAAAAAAGUUACGGAGUUUAUUUCAUUUACCGUAUGCACAUUUCUUUGAUUCCAAUACAAAAUAACCAAAAUACUCUCGUUUCUUACCAUCUUAUCUAGAUAGCAAUUUUAAGAAAUAAUACAUACUAACAGAAUGAGGUAAGAGUUCAAAAGAAGAUGGAAGAAAAUAAAAGAAGAAUAUAUAAAAGCUAAAGACAAGAACUAACUAGUUGUGAAGGCGAUCCGGGGAACUAGGUAUCCUUCUAUUGGAAUCUUCAAAGCGAGGAUUGGUGUUGUUUAAACCAAACGAUCUUCCCUUGAAAUACCUUUGGAAGAGUCGUUGAACAUCUCCGUCCUUCUUGUUCUUGGAGGUCAUGAGGGUGUUUCCGCCUUUUCCUAGUUGGUCGUCCGAUAGUUCCGGAACUUGUCGUCCUUCCCGAAAAAGCCAGAUCUGGAAGAGAGAGAUGAGUAAGAGAGCGACGGAGAAAGUCAACAGAAUAUCUCGACAACCCAUACAGAAAAAGAAAAAUGAAGAUCAAGAAGAAGAAAGAGAAUGUUUCUAUGAGGAAAAAAACGAACGUGAGAGUUUUUCUUUUUUGAUAUGACAAGAACGGUCAGAGAUUGUUAUAUUCAGACAUGAGACAACUCCAUAUCUUUCCUCAGCUCUCUAGUCUCUCUCUAUAUGUUUUAAUGAGGUGGAGCAGGCGCAGCCGGAGGGAAGAUGACGGGCGAGCUGUGUCAUUGACUCAUUUGUAAUUUGAGUGAGUCUCUCUGUCUCUGUCGUUUUCUAUGUCUCCUGCUUUGUUCUUUUUUUUUGUUCACACAUAUAUAGCUGUUAUGUGACAUAUUAAUCUGUGAUUACAAUUAGGGGCAGAUUUAUACAAAAACUUUUUUUAUUUUUUUUAUUUUUGGUAAAAUGUGAAGUAAAAUUUUUGAGGAUUGUGGGAUUUGAACCCUUAUCCUUCCAAGGUUAAAGAGUGGUCACUACCACUAGACUACCAGAGCUUUUCUUUUUUUUUUUUUUUUUUUUUUUUUUUUUUUGUUGACAGUAUAGUACGUAUAUACUCCCUCUGUUCCUGAAUACUUGAUGUUUUAAGAUAUGCACAUAAAUUAAGAAAAAAAAUUCUGUAUUAUUUAAUUAAAACAUCUCAUUAUUGAAAUGUCAGAUAACAGAUAACGUGUGUUGUGUUCACAUGCAAAGUAGGAGUUACGUACACAUGCUACAAGUUAUCUACUCCAUACUCCAUAGCACUCUAAACGUUUCAGAUUCCUUCAUCACUCUUAUGUUAAUUUCCCACUUUCGAAAUAAAAUUUGUUUACUCAAAAAUGAUUGAAAUUUUUAAACUUGGAGCCACAAUUAUGUUACUCAAAAACAGAAAAAUUUAGAUUGGAGCCAAAACCAAUAACUAUAUUCCACUAACCUUCUAUAUAUAUCAACGUAGGUUUACACCAUUUAGUCAAAUUCAACAAUGGCUUCUCAUGGCUUUAAUCAAAAUUUACCGCUUCAAAACAAUGAACAAGAAUAUUUGUUUGAUUUGAACAAAAGUCCAACAAGAGAAACUUCACAGGAGAAUUGUUUGGGCGUUCCACUCAACCAAGAACAAGAAGAUUUUUCUUACAUAAAUUCAGGUAUUUUUAUUUAUUUAUUUGUUAGACACUGCAUAUAUAUCUAAUUUUUAAAAAUCAUAAUGUAGAAAUUUAAUCCAUAAUUUAAUGCAUCAAUUAAUAUAUGGGGGAUUUAUUUAUCAUGAGUUUAUGAGUUCACGGAGAAUUAAAUGAAUCAUGUUCUUUAGUUUGUUUUUAGUUAAGUUUUUAUAUGAUACAUAAAGUUACCCAGUUUUUCUUAUGCAUCGACUUGUAUGACAUGGAAAGCUCUUGGUGCUUCUUAUUGUUUGUGGAGUUCACUAGAUCUUCGUGUUCACAAGGAUUCUUAUUUUAUUUAACAUUUUAUUUUUCAAAAUGUUUUUGAUAGGAGGAAGUGUUGGGAUAUCACAAAGUCUUCAAGAAGCUAGUUAUCACAAUAAAAAAAUGACAGAUGGAGAAAGACUAAAGGUUUAUCUUGCUCUACUGGAAAGAAGCAACAACGGUAAAUUGAAGAAGAUUCAUACAACUGAAGUCGCUAAUUUAUUCUCCGUACCGUUACAAACGGUACAAAGAAUUUGGAAGCGGGCUAAGAAUACUCCUAAUGGUGAAGUUGUUGAUGUAUCACAUAAGAAAAAGGGUAGAUGUGGUGCGAAGAAAAUUCAAAUUGAUCUUGAUCGAAUUGUUGAUAUUCCACUCCAUCGUCGGAAAACGUUACGGUCAUUGGCGGCAUCUUUGGACGUGAGCCGUACGACAUUGUUUCGAUGUCUGAAAAAUGGGCUCAUAAGACGACAUUCAAAUGCCAUCAAGCCAUGUUUGAAGGAAGGUAAUAUGAGAGCUCGACUAGAAUUUUGUGUCUCCAUGCUCGAUAAUAGUACUUUGCCCGAUCACCCGAAAUUUGUUGAUAUGUACAAUAUUGUGCAUAUCGACGAAAAAUGGUUUUAUAUGACAAAAAAGAAAGAAAAUUAUUACUUGCAUCCUAUUGAAGAAGAGCCAUAUCGUACAUGUCAAAGUAAAAAUUACAUCGGGAAGGUAAUGUUUUUAGCCGCCAUGGCUCGUCCAAAAUUUGAUGGAGAAGGAAAUGAACUUUUUUCGGGAAAAAUAGGAGUGUUUCCAUUUGUUACAAUGCAACCGGCUCAAAGACGAAGUAGAAAUCGAGAAGCGGGUACUUUGGAGUUAAAGCCGAUGACUUCCAUCAAGAGAGAAAAUAUUAAGGAGUUUUUAAUUGGAAAAGUUAUACCGAGAAUUCGUGAAAGAUGGCCACAAGAGGAUUUCGGGAAAACAAUUUUUAUUCAACAAGAUAAUGCAAGAACUCACGUUGACCCGAGAGAUGAGGAAUUCCGAAUAGUUGCUUCUCAUCAUGGCUUUGACAUUCGGUUGAUGUGUCAACCACCGAAUUCGCCCGACUUGAAUAUUUUAGAUCUUGGAUUUUUUAGUGCCAUUCAAACACUACAACACAAGGUGUGUCCGAAGACGAUAGAAGAACUUGUUUCCGCGGUAGAAAAUUCAUUUGAUGAAUAUCCCUCAAACCAAGUGAACCGGAUUUUUUUGACUUUGCAAUCAUGCAUGCAAGAAAUUAUGAAAGUCCGAGGCUCUAACAAGUACAAAAUCCCACAUUUGAAGAAAUCCAUCUUGGAGAAAGAAGGUAAUCUACCUUCACAAAUGGCUUGUGAUCCUAUUUUAGUACGAGAUGUAGUAAAUUACUUAGCUACCUAAGUUUUUAUUAUUGUCAUUGUAUGUUUGUUUUUUAUUUUGUUAAUCGGCUGAUACAAUUUGUAAGAUCUUUUACUUAUUGAAGAACUUUUUGAAUUUAUAUUUGAUGAUUUACGUUUGCAAAAUACAAAACUCCAAAUUUAAAGGAACAAACUUGGUGGCUUUCCUACUAAUAAAAAAGAGUUUAUAUAGAUUUGGUCUUUUCUCAAUACAUUUCUUCACACGUUUUAUAACAAAAAGAGUAAAAUUAGGAAACAAAAAAGAACAGAUAAAAAGGAGAGAAAUUAGGAAACAAAAGGAGUUUAUAUAGCUUAAUUUUUUUUUAUAGAUUUGGUCUUCUGCCGAGUUACAUUUUUUUCCUUUCAUGUUCAUAACAAAAAUGAAAGAAAUUAGGAAACAAAAAGAAAGAUAAUCUAAACAAAGCCGAUAAAAUAGAAAACAAAAAGAAAGAUAAUCUAAACAAAGCCGAUAAAAUAGGAAACAAAAAGAAAGAUAAUCUAAACAAAGCCGAUAAAAUAGGAAACAUUUGGAAAAUACCAAAUUAAUAAGAGUCAGGAAAAUAUAUCCUCAGCAUCGUCAAUAUAGUAUCUUCCAUGCCCUUGUCAGGAUGCAGCUCUCCUACAUCAUAAUAAAAUGUUUUGUUCAAAUCAAAUUCUCUGGUGGAGUUAGAAUUGAUAUCAUAAAUCCGAUACACAUUCUUCGAUUGGUCUUCUUCUUCGUCAUAUGGCUUGUUCAAAUCAAAUCUCCGGAUAGUGUUAGAUUUGGUUUGAGUAGGUUGAACAUGAUUCAAAUCUCCUUCUUCUUCCUUCAUUUUUUUUCUAGCUUCUUCUUGCUUCAUUUAGAAAGAGAAAAACAAUUAACAAGAAGAAAAAAAGAAAGAAAAGAUGAAAUGGUGAGUGGUUCGUAAAUGGCAAAGAAUAAGUAGUGAUGUUCAAUGAGAGUAAUCAAUGAGCAUAAAUGGGAAUGGGAAACUUUUUUCACUGAGAGUAAAUAAUGAUUGGUUCGUAAAUGAGAAUGGAAAGUUUCACAAGUUUCAUUUUCUUUGUCCAAAAACACACUCAACUCCACUUUUUAUCAUUAAUUAAUUUAAAUAAAAUAAAUACAUUAAAUAAAUUCUACAACAUCAAAUAUUCAGGAACAAGGAGAAAAACCAAAACAUCAAGUAUUCAGGAACAGAGGGAGUAUAACAUUUGCUCAAUUAUAUACUGGUUUUGGUUCCUUGUCACAUGCAUGUUCCUUAGAUAUUCUCUGUUUAUUCCUCGGUUAAAUGGUCCAAAUUUUAAAUUUAUGAUUCGUUUGUUAUAAAAACAAUGCAGUGGUCCAACUAGAUAUGUAUGCAAAGAAAAGAUGAUAAUCAUGAGUUACAUUCCCAAGAUAGGUUUCUGUAGCGUUGGGAAUUGAAUGGAUGCAAUUUAUUAGGCAGACAAUUGAUAUUUCUAGGGUGUGACUGGUCACCCUUAAUAGAAGAAAUGAAAAAGGGAGAAUUUUUUAUUUUCUUGGCAUGCACCAGUAAAAAAAAAAUCAGAAGAAAAUUAUAUCAGAUGAAAACAUCAAAAAGUAACUAAAGGAGAGGAAUUCUUUCUUCCUCAAAACUAGUAGAAUUCAUUUUUCUUCUUGAUGUGACAUUUCUUUUCUUCUAUUUUUUCUUUUCAUUUUUUCUAACUUUUUAACCAGUCACAGCCCUAGUUACCCGACGGAGAUGUAACGAAGAAUAUGUAUAUACAACUAAAGAGCUAAACCUAUGUUUAAGUGUGUCGGUGGUGGUCAAAACUGAAGAAGACAUAUCGAUCGAUGGAGGGGAAGUAUCAAUGUUGUCAUGUUGAUUAUAAUCACGCAAAACAUAUUAUAUGAUGUAGCUAACAAACAAAAUAUAUUUUGCAAUGUAAAAUGUCUAUAUACAGAAUUAACAAAUUGUUAGAAGAGUUCAUCAAAGGUAACAAAUCAGUAUAUGAUAGUGUUAAACUUCGUUAAAAGUGUAGUUAAACAAAUGAUACUCCCUCCGUUUCAGUUUAGUUGUCGUUUUAGGAUUAAAAUUUUGUUUCAUAAUAGUUGUCGUUUAGGUUUUCAAUACAAAUGUUUGGUGAAAAUUAAUGUUUUGUCAUUAAUGUUUUAGUGUUUUGACCAAUGAAAAAAUUAUAAAAUAUAUUAAUAAAGGGUAAAACAAAAAAUUUAAUGAUUUUCUUAAUUUGUGUGCGAAAACCUUAAACGACAACUAAAACGAAACAGAGGAAGUAUAAUAUAUUUCUUGGCAAACAGGAUAUGUUUUGGGUAAGGAGUCAAUUGGUCACAUGGGUAUGUCUGAUUUUUAUUUUUAAAAAAAUAAAAAUUUGAAAUAUUAAUUGUCUAUAUAUAACUAUUUGGGCUGAUAGCAAUUAUUCGAUUCAAUAAUCAGACCCGUCUUCGCAGGUCCACGCGAGAGCUCCCACGAGUCCACGACUAAUAGUAAUAGCAUCUCCACGAUGAGAAACUAUUAUAAUAAUUUAAUGUUUUUGUAAUAACUAAAUUAUUUGUUUAAUUUUAAUUAAUUAAAAAAAACUUUAAUCAAUCAAAUGAUGCCAAGGGUUAGACACAGUGUCUCAGAGUUUCUCAAAUGAGACACUGUACCUCAUUCUCUCUCUUACUUUUAAUUAUUUUUCUUUUUUUAAUUCUUUAAACACUUUUUAAUAAACCUCUAUUCGAGGUGCUCUAAUAGUCUCAACUUUUUUUUUUUUGUUCAGUUUAAUAGGUGUCUGUUUUUCAAAAUCUCAUUUGUUCACAUCUCUAGUAAGUAGUAACAUAUAGGUGAUCAGAGGACAAAGACUAAUAUUAAUCGCACUUAAUAUAAGCGAAAAUGUGGUGAUUCAGAGAUUGAAAAGAGUUGGUGGUUACAUAGUUUCUUCUUUUUAUAUCACUCGACUGUCAAACCGAGAGCGUGAGGAAUAUUUGUGCAUGCUACAUCCUUUAAUAUUCGAUUCAUUUUGGAUUUGAAUAAAUAAUCGAGAAAUCAGUAAAACACAAAAACCAAAACUUGUCUUCUUAUUAAAAAAAAAAAAAAAAAUUGCCGUCUUCUCAACCUCUUUCGCCAUUUUCUUCUUGUAGUUGUCGCAAUUUAUUUUGUCUCUUUAUUAUCUUACGUUUUCCCUCUGAUCCCAACCAUGUUCAGUAUUAACUCUUUUUACUUCCAACGUUAUUUCUUAUAGUACCAGUUUAGGAACUUAGCAUUGCUCUGUAUAUCUUAAAAAUAUGUUCUAAACCUUACUUUUGUUGAUGAUAAAUUGAUGAGAGUAAAGAACACAAAAAUGUGUAGGAAGAAUUAUAAUAGACUCUCAUAAACUUAAAGAUAUAAAUUACAUUCUCUUAUAUAGAGAUGAGAUUUCCUAUUCUAAGAUAAAGAUAAAUGUAAAUAAUAUAUUUAGAGAUAAUGUUAAACUUCCUAAACUUAAGAUAUAAUAAUUUCUAGAUCCUUCUCGAUCUUCAUGAUUUCCAUAAUCUUGGACGAUCAUCUCGACCGUCGAUCUCCGGUUCUCCCAAUACCCCUCGGCAAGCUCAUACGUGGUAACACGUAUGAGAUUGGACAAGUCUUCAAAAUAGCGGCUUUAUACCCGGCCGUCGGGUCAUCAUCGACGUUUAUACCCGGUCGUAGGGUCAAAGUCGUGGUCACCAUCAUGUUCGUAGUUAAUGGAGAACCACAUGGAAAAUACAUCAUCAUCGUAGUUAUGUAUCUCCAUCGGUUUUAAAUCACAAGUCUUGGUCGCUCUUCGAACUUCUUGUUCAUGAAGAAACUUGUGUAAGAUUCAAAUUCGUAACCGCCGGAUCAGCAUCGUAUCCGUCGGACUCACCAUAGAUCAUACUAGACGUAUCUUCAUCUUCCUUGCAUGUGAUGAAGAACGUAAUCAACUUCAUAAAGGCCACAUAAUGACCAGUUUAUUCUCUCACAAGAAAACACAAUCACGUGCUUUAAAAAUCAUCUUCGUCCAAAUUGCAUUGAUUGUCCAUCUCACCUUUUGUAGUGGUGGUGAUAUCAACAAAUCAAUAACAAAAUUUUGGAAUCGAUCAAGUCUUUUUUUUUUUUUUUUUUCUUUUGCGGAAGAUAACGAAACCUUAACCCAUAGGAGUAGGAUCUUGGCUCUGAUACCAUGAUAAAUUGAUGAGAGUAAAGAACACAAAAAUAUGUAGGAAGAAUUAUAAUAGACUCUCAUAAACUUAAAGAUAUAAAUUACAUUCUCUUAUAUAGAGAUGAGAUUUCCUAUUCUAAGAUAAAGAUAAAUGUAAAUAAUAUAUUUAGAGAUAAUGUUAAACUUUCUAAACUUAAGAUAUAAUAAUUUCUAGAUCCUUCUCGAUCUUCAUGAUUUCCAUAAUCUUGGACGAUCAUCUCGACUGUCGAUCUCCGGUUCUCCCAAUAGUUGACCAAAAAAACACUUACUUUAUGUGGUAACAUAUCAUAACCCUUCCAAUUAUAUAUAUAUAUCAAAAUCCUAUACGAUAUUGAAAAAGUAUGAUCUUCUGUUAGUUCUCGUAGUGCGGUGAAUGCUGUCAUUCUAUUCAUAGUCAUUUUUUGAACUUGAACUUGAAUUCUAAGAAAUUUUUUGACCAACUUAGAAUUUUGGUGGACUCUGACAUCUUUGCCUUUCAUAGUGAAUUAUUUGAGUUUGAAAAAAAAAAAAACUGAUUCGCCACGGUUGUAUAGAUUUUUUCUUUUCAGAUGUAGGAGACAACAAAUUAGUAUAGUAAACGAUAUGCAAUUAUCAAAAAGUUGAAAAGCAAAAAUUGACGAAUCUUUUAUUUUGUUCAUCAUUUAAUUUAGUUUAUGGUUUUCCGUGGUACGAACUAUUAUAUGAUUAAAUGUUUAUUUUAUCCUUGGUAUUAUAUGCAUGGAUAUUUGUUUUCAUCAUCACUAACUUUUGGCAGAUUUAUAGGAAGAAUGUAGAUCCUCACGUUGUUGACGUGUGCUACCGUACUACCGAUUGGGAAUGAGGCUAGCUCUACAUUUUAAUUUGUCUUUUUCUUUCUUUUGUUACUUUUCUCUUUUUCAAAUUCAAAGUUGGAUACGAUCAACAAAAAGUUCCCAUAUUGACUUGAUUUUUUCAAACAUAUAUACCAGAUGUAGACCGUGUAGUACUAUUGUAAUAUCAAAUGCCUUCUACAACGAUUAACAAUGUGACAUUAAAAACAUCUAAAUAAUGUUGGAGUUUGCUAUGAAAACCAGCUUACUAAACUUAUCAACAAUUUUCACUUUCUAAGCUUUAAAAUCAUUAUUUGACAAAAAAAAGCUUUAAAAUCAUUUUUUAUUUUUUAAGUGUUAUUAAUGGGCUUUAAAAGCCCAACUCGACUCUCUCACUAGUAGUAUUUGGACCAAAAACCAAACUCACACGGAUUUGUUUUUGGGCUUCUUCUAGAAAAGCCUCAUAUUUGUAAUUAGAGUUGAACUUAAUUUAUAUAUUAGACUAUUAUAUUUUAAUCUUUCGAUGUGGGGCGUUGGUUUGUUUCCUAACAAAUAUGCUUGAUCAUUUCAUGGUGGAUACUAGAUAUCAUGAUAUUGGAAAAAAUGUCAUUUAAAUCGUCACUUUGCCAUUAGUGGAGGUUUAAAGCAUGAACUUUGAGCCUGGUGCUUUUAAUCCUCAAUUUCUAGUUGACUUUCAAUUUAAUCUCUAACUUUCGUUGACGAAGCCGAUUGAGGCACGUCUUUAACUGGACAAACGGAGGAUUAAGACGUUGUUUUUAGUCCGUCUAAUAUAUCCGUUAAUAAGCGAAACGACGUCGUUAAUCAAAUGAACUCCCAAUUCGAUUAAGCUCGAACCCUAGAAUACCAAAUCGAAUUUAGAAAUACAAUAUCGAAUAUUCUCUCGUUUUCUUAUCUAAUCUCCAUUUCGUGGGACAUUUAGCUGAUUAACGGAUAUAUUAGCGGGACAGAUAACAGCGUCUUAAUCCUCCUUUUGUCCAGUUAAAGACGUGCCUCAAUCGGCAUCGUCAACGAAAGUUAGAGAUUAAAUUGAAAGUCAACUAGAAAUUGAGGAUUAAAAGCACCAGACUCAAAGUUCAUGCUUUAAACCUCCACAAAUGGCAAAGUGACGAUUUAAAUGACAUUUUUCCCUCAUGAUAUUUGGCUAAACACACAGUCUAUUACAGAAACGCGACUCCUAUACAAUCACUAAAACAACGAGUGAAUUGAUUCAAAACAGAUCAACAUCAACAAAUAAAACUUGAAAUUCUAGUGAGUAAAGAUAUAUACAAGCUUCUAAGAUCAAAGGUUUGGAAUUUGAUAUGAAGUUUACCGUGUACGUAUAAAUAGAGACAGAGUAAGUAUUGGCUCUUAUACGUAAACUCCAUAUCAUGCCAAACUUUUGAUCUCAGAACUUCUAUCAAUCUGAACAAAGAUGGAGUCAAGUUUAUAAAGGUUUUGCUCGUUUUCUAAGAGCCAACCUAACCAAAAUUCAUCUCUGGCAAAGAUAAGUUCAUGUUGAGUUUACAACCGAUUAAGAAGAAAAAGAAGGAAAGAAAAGGAUCCAUACACCAUAAACAAACUUAGUUCGGUUUAUUGAGUUUUAUUUUUAACCGGAGAAACCCCAAAAUUUAUACUAAACCAAGAAAAAGAAAAAGUCAAAACCAAAUUGAUUUUUUAAAAGAAGAAAAAAUCCUCAAUUUAGGGAUGCUUUUCGAAGAAAAAAUCAUGAUAUAAAGACUAAUAAAACUUGAAAUGAAACCGUGCCAAAUCAAAACAAAAUAUUUUGACUGCAAUAUGGUUCAUACUAUUAACCAAAAUAUCCUAUAAAACCGAACCGAUAGAAAAACGUUAAAAAUCUCCCCAACUUCAGCUUUGUCUUAUGUUAUCCUGAGUGGAAGGGUUCAAAUUCCAAAGAUCAUCGUCCCACACAACAUCAUUAUACAGAACCCCAUAGUUUUUCUCAACGAACUCCACGUCCCAACAUGAAGGCAACCAAACGGUGCUCCACGUCAUCAGCUCGUCGACCACAUCAUCUCCCGCCUUAAGCCUCAUCCCCCACAAUUCCUCCUCCUCCUCCACCGCUGCAGCCGCAGCCACCGUUGCUGCUGCAGCCAAUGCAUCCACCACAACCACCUCCACCUCCAUCUCCCUCUCCUCCUCCUUCUCCUCCGGUACUUGUCUCUUCCUCUCCUUCUUCAUAUAUAUGAUCAAUGUAUUUAUGAGUGAAGGGAGAGAGACGCUAUUUAAAGAAGGGGGGAUCGGAAGAAGAAAUGAGUUUUGAAGAGAAUGUGUAUGUAUGGAGACAUAGGUUUAGGACAUGGAAGAGAGAGAGAAUGCAGUUGCUUAAUCACACACCAUCUGUCUGUUCCUUUGGCCCUACGUGUCCUCCAUUAACCUUUUUUGCUACAAAAUAUCUUUGGUGAGAGUGGUUCACCAGAAUAAUAAGUCUCGAGUUUUUUCUUUUUAAUGUGUUGAAAUAAUCAAAAUGCCGCCCAGAAGAUAUUGAAAUAUCCACACGUACUAAUUGUUUGAUUUUUCCAAUUUAUUUUUUCUUCUGUUGUUACUUAAUAAAGAAAAAGAGAUUCGUUUGAGUGCUUUAGAAAGUGGGAAUGGAUAUUAAACUAGUGGUAAUAGUGGGAAAUUCCCACCUGGACCAGAAAUAGACCAAACGUACAUGAGAAAGAGACAAAAGUGUAGUUUGGUUUUGGCAAAAUAAAAUAAAAUUGUAAUUUGUAAAGGACGAGUUGAGAUUGUGUGUCCGCGAAGGGGCAAGUCGUAAGUGGACCUUUCUCUACCACAGUCACACGCACACGACCAUGACGUUAGUUUCUGAUGAACAAAAAUAAAAUAAAAAUAAAUAAAUAAAAUAAAAUAUUAUUCUUUAUUUUCUUUCUUCACUUUGUUUUGGAAUACAUAAAUGUUUCUUUUAUAUAUAUAAAAACGAAUACAUAAAUAUUUCCAUUUAAGGACGUUUAUAUACUAUGGCCGAUUGGCCGGUGAAGAAAUAACAGGGCUUGCGUGAUGCAAGUCUGAAUUGGUCCAAGAAUACAAAAUGUAUGUAUAAUAUAUUGAGAUUAAGUAUAUAACAAUGAUGUGAUAAAUAAUACUGUUGAAUAGGUUAACGGGACAAUUUUUUUGUUUCGAUUUUAAUAUAUACUGGAUGAAAUUUAACGUGUUAUCUUAUUGAAUAUAUAUAUAUAUAUAUAUAUAUAUAUAUAUAUAUAUAUUCAUUUGGUAUAAAAAAAUAUAGAUUAAUAUUUAACGUGCUAAUAAUAAAACAGUUAAGGUAAUUUUUGUAUUUUGUUAACUGUUAGUAAUUAAUUAAAACGAUUCAUAAACUCAAAUGAGAGGUAGUCUACAUAAAUACCUCUACACAAAUAAUGUCAUACGAGCAAAAUCGAGUAUUCCUUGCUAAACUAUCUACUUUUGACUUUGAAGUUUUCAAAAUGAGAGAACGGGAAUAGAAAUAAGAUAACUCAUUGCUCCUCACAAAUUUUUUAAUGUGUCUUGAUAAACUAAACAUACCAAUCCACUAAUGUAAUUUUUUUUUUAAAUAAAAAAGUUUCGGACCAAGCCUAUACAUCUCUAUAGAUUCGAACCAGCUUAUAAUAUUUUUACUCUUAUCUAUUAUCACUCGAUCCCGUGACUGUUUAAAAAAUUUCAAGGUACCUUUAUAGUCAAGCUAUCAAUUUUUAAUAUCGAACUAUGAAAUGUUGACAAUGUAAACAUCAUCUUUACCAAUUUGUUACAGUCUGUUACGAAAACUAAAUCAUAUAAUGCAUGAUUCAAAUAAGUAUCAGAAUUUAUGACAACCACACAAUCGUGGAAGGGAUUUUUGAAAAUCAGGGAAGAUUGGAAGCUUAUGUUGUGGACUUGGCUGCCAAUGGUACAUGGAGCAAAGUAGAAGAAGCCUCUCUACACUUCUGGAUCUUUUUUCAAAGGUUUCAUGUACAAAUCUAUUUAUAGGAGAGAUAUUUUAUUGUCUUGGAUAGAUGGGAAAGAUGAAGGCAUUGUUGUCUCUUAAUCUUGGCAAUAGUGUAGUACUUUUAACAGAUCUAUCUCCAGAAAAGACUGAAAAUGUUAGCGUCGGGGAAUUUCAAAGCGAAGUUUCCAUUUACGAUAUGUCGAAGGAUCUCAGAAGCGACAAGUUUUGUUGCAAAAUUUGGUUGUGGGAUGGUAGAGAUGCAAGAACGUGAAAGCAUGUUUUCAACAUUGUUCUGAAUACGAAUUUCGACACUUUCGAGUUAGGAUGUAUGUCAUCUAACAGGCUGGUAUCGAAAUCAAAAUCUUUUGUACUGAUAUGUUUUAUUAUAUGUUUGAUUAAAAAUUGAUGGAAUAAAACUGAAAGGGGUAAUAAUAGUUAUUAGAGGAAUAAGAUGAAUGACGCAAAUUGUAAUCAAACAAAUUUUUUUUACAUCAAUCAUCACUUUUAAUUAGUCUUUUAUAUGUUUAUAUUAUGCAUGCAUGAUAAUACUACAUACGGUCUAUUACUAUAAACUAGAUAAGGACCCGUCCGAUGGACGGGUUUAAUUUUUUUUAAAAAAACUAAAAUCAAAUUUAACAAAAGAUGAAUUAACAACGUUGUAAGUAGAAUUGUUUUACAAAAAGAAAAAAUAUUUAUAUUUUCAUUGUUGCAUUGUUUCUUUAACCACUAAAAUUAUUAAUUCAAAAUUAUUUCGAAUGAAAGAUAUAUCACAUAGCAAUAACUCAUGAUAUACUAUAUAAAGUUAGCGAAUGAAAACAAAGUGGUUUUUAAUUAGACUCAUUAAAAAUAUAAAUAUGAUAAAUCGUCUAAAUCCCUUAGCCUUCCAAGCUAACGUUGCGGGUUCGAUUCCUAUAUACUCGAUUGCAAUGACUUUAUGUUCCAUCAAUAAAAAUUAAUAAAUUCAAAAAAUUAUAAGCACGAUGAUAUAUGAAUCUUAUAUAAUUCAAAUAUGAACAUAGAAAUUUAAAUAAACAAUUUUGAAAUAGUAUAAUUAAAUUCAAAGAAGAAGCAUAUAAGUUCUUACAUAUUCAAGAAUUUCAAAUAAACAAUAUAAAACUUUACUUAAAAUCAUCAUAUAUUUCUAAUUAGAAAAUAAAAUUGAUAUAAAUAAUGUAAAUUUGUAAUUUAAAUCAUGACACUGUCGCUAUCUAAAAUUAUUAGAAUUAUGAUAUAUUAUAAAUCUUAUAUAAUUUAAACUGAACGUAGAAACCAAAAUAAAUAAUUUAAAGAUACAAUAAUUAAACUAAAAAUAAAAAAUUAUAAAACGAUGAUAUAUGAAUCUUUGAUAAUUUAAAUAUGAAAAGAGAAAUUGAAAUAAACAAUCUAAGAAUACUACAAUCAUAAUUGAGGACAAACAAAAAACACAGUUAAGUAAAAAAAAUAUUACAUAAAGGAAAAAAAAUUGAUCUCUCAUAUUUCUAAUUGAAAAAAUAAACUCAAAUAAAUAAUAUGAGGAUUAGUUUAAAUAAAUCAUCAUAUAUUUCUAAUUGGAAAGAAAUUUGAGAUAAAUAAUAUCAAAUUUUAAAUUAAAUCAUGAUACAUUGAUAAAAUCUUUGACUGAUACGGUUCAUAUACUAUUAAUUACUAAAAAAUAGAACAUAUUAGUUUUAUAAUAACAUAUGUUUCCUUUUUAAUAAAUUUGCAUGAUUUUUUUUUCUUGUUUAAUUGAAAUAUAUAUUUCUAAUUAUAAAAAACGUAUGAUUUUCUUAUUAUUAUCUUUUGAUAUUUUUUAAAUUGUUUAUAGGAAUAUUCAUUAUUUACAAUUAUCUUUAUAAUUAUAUUUUACAUUUUUAAAAUUAUUUAAAUUUAUAAUUACUUACAAUUAUCUUUUUUAUUAUUUUAAAAAGGAAAUUUUGUUUUACACGUGUCAAAAUCUAAGAUCGAUAGAUUUGCCACGUGUCACAAUCCUAUGAGUUAUUAACUUUGAAAACCAUACUUUAUAUAAUAAGACUAGAUAAGAAUCCACAAGUAAAUCUUAUGCUAUUUAAAUUUAUGACAUACCAUAUUUAAAAAAAAAAAACUCAACGUUUUUAUAUUUAGUCUUGAGGUGCUAAAAUAUUUUAAAUUAAAAAUUGCUAUAUAAAUAUCAUGCAAUAACACAACAUUUUAGUCUAAAUUUAAAAUAUUUAUUUAUAUUAUACAAAUAAAGUUGCAUUGACUAUGUCAUUAAUAAAUUUAGGUUUGUAGAUUUGCGGUUUCAAUUUAAAUUUUAUAAUCUAUGAAAGAAUUUGUUGGUGUUAAAAUAAAUAUACUAUAUAUUUAUAUUGUUUAAAUUUUUAAUUAGAAUGUAUUUAAGAUUAAUAAAAUAUUUAUAUAGAUGUUAAAUUUUGGGAAAUUGUUAAAAAUACCCCUUUUGGUGUGCCCCUUUUAAAAAAUGCCUCUUUUAGAUGUCCAUUUUCAAAAAUGCCCUAUUAGGUUUAUAAUGUACUUAUGGAUUGUAACUACUACUUGAAGACUCGAUCCAAGUAUUUAUAAGGUUUUAUAAGGUGUUUUUAAAGGUUUUACAAGUUAUUUUAAAGGAUUUUUAAGGUUUUUCAAAGGUUUUACAAGAUAUUUUAAAGGUUUUCAAAGGUAUUUAAAAUGCAUUUAUAAGGUAUUUAUAAAAUAUUUAUAAGAUUUUAGAUACAUAGAAAUGUAGUUUGUGUAUGUUUUAAUAAUAUUACAUACAUAUUUGGGUAAAUUUUAUAUUUUUAAGAGCAUUUUUUAUAAGGUUUUUAAAAAGGGGUAUUUUUGAAAAGUGGCAUUGAAAAAGUGGCAUUUUUGCAAAAACCCCAAUAAUUUUUCAAAAAUUCGAAAUAUUUAAUUUUGAUAAAUUUAGUUAAUAAUAAUAAAUAGUAAAUGGAAUUAAAAGUGUUCGGCAAAAUGGAUAGUAUAAUUAGAUGAAUGAAAAAUAAAAAAAAUGAGAAUAAAUGUGGGCUUAACAUAUCAACACAAAAAACUCUCUUUAAAUGUAUAGAAGAUAGGUCAUGAAUAACUGGCGUCACUUUCCAUAUUAUGCUAAAAGAAAAAGAGUUGUGCUUUCAAGAAAAGCGAUAAUUUUUGAAUGAUGUUUCCAUAAAAGAAAAAACACUCACUUUAUUAUUUAAAACACAAACACAUACCUAUUCAUAUUAUGAAGUGGUUGAUAUAAAAGCGAACAUGUGGGAAAUUCCUUGGUUAGAAAAAUCUAAUUAGGGAAGUACUUGGUUGAAGAAAUGGCUUCCAUUUCGACUUGAGCCAUCAACACAUCAUUCACAACGAAACCCUUUGAUGAAUCUUUGAGAUCUGAGAGUGAGAUAAAGUCAUUAUAACCCCAACCAGAAAAUCCUGAAUAUCCCGGACCAUUAUACCAAACAUCAACUGCCAAAAACAAAAGUUCACCAGAAAGCACUCAUGGUCAGUCAAGACGAAUAUGUCCAUAUAUAUAUAUAUAUAUAUAGGUAGAUAUGUAUCAUCUGUUUACGUUGCUUUUCGACGUUAUUGAAUUGGAGUUGGUUGAGAAUUCGAAGCUUGGCUCGAACAUAAAUCUUCUCAUAGGGACUGAAUUUCUCGUUUGCAUCAAGGUUAAGAAACAUCGACAAGGCUUUUCCCUCUACUGCGGCAUCACCAUUUGGAUACACUUGUAUAUUCCUGAUCAGCAUAUGAAGUACUUGUUACUACUACCACUGCUCUAAAAGUCUUAAUUAUUUUGAAAUAUUCUGGACUCACCAAUUUCUUCCGCCGAUUGAAAAUACAUCUGAUAGGUAAGAAUCUUUGAGAAGCAUAGAGAAUCCCCGAAUGCUCCAGGUGAAUCUCGGGUUAUGGAAAUUCUCAGUGACAGUGAAAAGUUCAGAUAUUUUAUAGAGAGAAGGAAUGGUCACGUCAACACCAAACUCGCAAUGAUCUCCAUCGUAAAGGUAUCCGUUUUUCGGGUCUUUGAAUGUAUCAAUAGAGAGGACCUGAGAGAAUCCCCACAUCGUUUUGAAGACAUUAAAUUUCCAUACAUCGGUAUCUGCAAAUUUUAGCAAAGAUAAAUUGAUAGAUAGAUGUUAGUAUUAUGCAUAUAGAUCACAUUUUUUGGAUUGAAAAAAAUGAGCAAGAACCUUGGAUGGUGAAGUACUUCCUCUCGUUCUUGUUGAAGAUGUAAAACCUUAGAUCCGCAUAAACCUCUUGAUGUGCAGCGACGAGGGUCGAGUUGUCUAUGGCUACGUAUAGCGAAAGGUACCCUGAACCACUGUCUUUCUUGUUCCCGUUGGGGUACACAACAAGUGUCCUGUUUAAAUAUUGUAUUUUCAGAUCCAUUCAAAGAUUUGUAGUAGUAUGAAUUAAAGAUUCGAUUCGAGCAAAUAAAAAUCAGAUUACCACCAACGUACCAGUUGUAUCCACCAACUGAGAAAGGACGAGAUUCGUAUUUCUCUGUGAAGGUUGACUUAAGGAGCGUGUUGAAAGACUCCAUCUUGAGAGAGUAAGAGGAUGGAGGAUGAUCUCUCAGACCUUUCACUACAUUUGAAGCUGAGACUUUAUAAUCACGUGAUGAGAUCUCUUCAUUGUUAUGUAAAUAGUUCCCUUUGUCCUGGUUUGGCAUUGGUCCUACUCCAUUUUCUUCUGUUUUGAAACAGAGCAUUUGAAAGCAAAAAAAAAUACAGAGGAAUGGUAACUAACCAUGUUGAAUACACAAGUCCUAAAACAGAAUCUAGAAGACAUAAAUGGAUCUUCUUGAAUAUUGGAUUAGAUCUAAGAGCAAAUAAGAUAACAUACGCUGCAGAUUUGUAUUGAAGCCAUCAGUGAAUUGUCUUAUGAAGGAGCUUGCAGACGCAGAUGCGACAAUGAGACAAAACAAGAGAUAAACAACAGGGCUGGUGUUUCUUCUGUAGUGACUCCUCGUCAUCUUUUAAGGUUUUGCUGUGAAUAGAGACUAGUGAGACUUAUCAUAUAUAAUGAGAGAGAUGCUUUCGAUGCUUCGGGAGGCUAAAGAUAAUAAAUGAGCGUUUUAAAUUGAUAAUGUUGUUUAUUUGUUUUGCAUAGAUUUUGUAAAAGUAGCAAAUUAAAAUGUUACAUCUGUAUGUCACAUUCAAUAUCAUUGACUUUUGAAUCAACCUAAGGUCACAACACUUGAGCAUAAUCUACCAAUACUCCUUCAGCAUACUCAUUUUACCAAACCUAUGUAUCAAAGAAAACAUCUUAUCCUUCUUUCUGUGUAUGAAGCAAAUACAGUUGCUUUUAUUCACAAAUGAUGACGUGGCAACUACGUUAAGUUUAAGGACUUCCCUUCUGCUGCUACUGUGGGUGUAGGAGCCCCAUAAGAGACAUUCACUAGUUGCGCAGCAGCACGAGCAGCUGCUGCUGCACGAUCAGCGCUAGCUAGAGCAGCUCGAGCUCUCUCCAUUACAUCAGUCUGAUCCUGUCUAGUAUCAGGAGGAGCUUGAGAAGCUGAAGUCAGCUUAGAUGAUGGCAUGUUUUUGCUCACUGGGUUUUGAGCUUGAAGCUUUUGGAAUCUCUGUGUGGCCUCUGCAGGCAGACUUUCAGCCUCCCUAGAAACUGAAGACUGACUGUAGCCUUGCUGGGACGGUCGAGAUUCAGAGAUACCAUCUUGGCGAUGUAUUUGCUUAGCUCCACCCUACAAAUGACAAUGGAACCAAACUAGUAACUUUAUAAACGGAUUUCAUUUGAUAUAAAACGUUUCCAAAACCUUUGCAAAAUCAUUCAAGUCCAUGAGAGAGAAGAAGCUAUAUUGAACCAAAACUCGUCAUUUGUGUACAGUAACAGCCAGGCGUCGGAAAAUCAUCAAUUAUUGCUAUGCAGACAUAUAUUUAUCGUUCCUUUUGGCCUAUUGGAUAUCUACCAGAAAAAGUAAGAAUCCGUGGACGCAUACAGAAAUGUUGGGCAGCACAUUCCUACAAGUAGUUCUUAAAUUUAGAGUUGUGGUUUCCAAUUCAAUGUUAUGUUCUUUCCAUUUAGAGAAACCACAUUUAUUCCUUGUGACAUAGCGAAGUUGUAUAAUAGUUCACAUCUAAUUUAGGGGACCGAAGAAUGUGACCGACUAGCUUUCCCUUUUUAAAUUUAUAAAAGAGGGUUCAGAGAAUGGUACCAGUAGGUCUUCAUGGCUCUUCAUGAACUCAGCUUCCGUGGCAGAAGAAUCCCAUUUCAAACUGUACUCCUGCGCAAUAUCCUUUAACAUCUUGAGCCUUGCCUCUCCAGAUGGACUAGUAGGAGAAAGCUUUUCAAUGAUCUGGCCAAGAAAGCAGAACAAUCCAACAAGUUAUAAGCACCUUCAUUCAAAAAUGCAUUUCUCUUGAAAAGUAUAUAAAACAUCAAAAAGAAAAGUAUAUACUAACAGUACGAUUGACACCAGAAUCGGGACGAAGCUCAGAAGCAACCAUGAUAAAUUCUUUUCCAUAUUUUGUACCAAAGAGAUUCUUAAUUUGAAGAAGAUCAGGCACUUCAGAGCACCUUGGAGCAGCAAAGAUAAUGCUAGCAAUAGCCUCUCUCAACUCUCUAGGGCAUUCCCUAUACGAUUGCAAAUCCAAAGAAACAUAUUAUGAUGGAUCAUUCCACUCUCUAUCCUUUGAUCACAAAUGAAACUCAAAGACUCACUUUUCACUUUCAAGAAUAGGAACACGAGCAAGUACAAACUCGCAGAAUAGCUCCAGUAUCUCAUAAGCUGCCCAUAAAUUCAUUUCUCUGAUCACAUGCUCCACCUAAAUCUCAGACAAGAAUAUAAGAACUUGAUGUUCAUUGUAAGAAUUAACAAACACAAAUCAGAAUGGGAUCAUAAAAAUAGUUUUAAAAAAAAAGAAAGGGAAAGACCCGAAUUCGAGCAAUGGGUUCUUGUCCAGCUUGCAGGAACUGAGCUAUCUCCUUCUUCAUAUGUUUAAGCUGCAUAUCUCUCUUGUUUUGCAGCAAUUUCAUUCGAGCAAUCGCCAAAUUCAAGCUUGUCUUGCUGCCAAAUUUUACUUAAAUUUCUCAGUUUUUUUUGGACAAUCAAGAACAUAAUAAACUCUAAUUCAAAUUGAAGCAAACGAGUAAUCGAUGGCAUCAAAUUAACAACUUUAUUGAAGAACCCUAGCUUCAAAUCAAAACCCGGAUCCUAAAAGAGUCAACGUAUAAGAAAAAGAAGAAGAAGAAGAAGAAACCAUUUGGCACCAAAGAUGCCACGGUUGAAGAGUUGGUUUAGCAGCGACAUUGAAUCGGAGUAGAGGGAAUCAAUGCGGAGGUUGGCGAUCGUCGAUGGAAAAGGAAAACGAAGAUAGUGAAAGUAAUACGCUGCUCCGCGGAACACGGUACGAGCAUAGCCGUAGCCAGUAAAAAGCACGCGUGAAACUCACAGGUGAAAACGAGAGUGGAAGUGUGGGACUCAUAUAGAUAUCCCAGAUAGUGUAUAUUAAAUGUUUAAUAUCCAAAAGUUAAUAUUUUGCUUGCUUUCAUUUUAUUUUCUACUUUUUAAAUUUGUUAUUUAUGAAACGAAUAAUAAUAAAAUUUAAAAUUAAAUUAAAGCUAAAUCAUAACUUUGGUAAUUCUAUCUUUUUUAUUUUUGCUGUCUAGUAGUAUUAUUUAACCAAUUAAAGAAUAGGGUACAUAAAAACUAGAAUUCUUAAAGGCAUAGCAAUAAAAACUAGAAGUUCUUUGUCAAAAAAAAAAAAAACUAGAAGUUUGAUUUAAAUCAAGAGGACAACAAAACAAUCGGCAGCCUCUAAAAACAAGAGUACGUACAACAGAAAACCAACUGCAUAUCAAUAACCAAUUUCUCUUUGUUAAAGGAAUUUUAUGAGUCACCAAGGACUAGGCGAUGUAAGAUGGAAAUCUAAUUUUUCCCAUGAGAAAAAUUAUUUAAUUUAUAUUAUAGGAUAUUCAUCUCCAAGUUAUUUAAUGAUAAAACAAAUGUUUAGGUCGAUGUAAUGAUUGUAUAGCUUGUAUACGGUUAGGGAUUGUAUGGAAUGAUUGUGUGGCAUGUAUAGGACAAAUGUUACUAUAAAGACUAUGGUUAGAAAAAAAAUAUAACCGUCACGGAAUGGUUGGUUAAACGUAACAAUAGUAACUAUACACUGUGGAUCUCAAAACAAAAACAAAAACGAAAAAACAAAAGUAACUUGUAACUGUGGUCAUGUUGCAGAGGCUGACUCAUUCACCUUUUUGCCUUAUCCUCCUGGCUCUGAAGUUUCUUUGAAAGCCUCCUCUGCCGCCUUUCUCCAACGUGUCUUAAAAUUAUCCACCACAUCAUCUCUCUUCCGUAUCUUUUUUUUCUUUAUAUACUCAUAAUGAGACCAUAAACCAAAAUCUCCUCUCUUUUUCUCCCCUUACUUUUCUUCCUUACCAAAUAUAGCAACAAAAAAAACAUUUUCUGCCUAAGAAAAAUACUAAGUUUCUGUCAUGGAGGUCCCGAUAAUAAACAGAAUAAGCGAUUUUGACGUGGGGAUAAACUCGAUAAACGACCCGUCGUAUUUAUCUCGAGCUUUGGCCGUCUCCGGCGUCGGAAAGUUACAUCAAGCUUAUAGUUUCUGGAAAUGGGGCGCUUUAUUGCUACUUGCAUUUUUUGCUUCAUUUACAUCGUUAACUACAAGAAUCAAGGCUUUAGUCUUUAGAUUAAGAAACGUAAACGUGUCUCUACCUUCCCCAACUCUUUUGUGUAAUUACGACAGCGAUUCCGAUUGGUCUUUUGCGUCAGACUCUUCAGACGAAGAUGAUGACGAUGACAAAGAAGAUGAAUCGGUCAAUGGAGAUUUACGCGUUAAAAGAUUUAGUUAUUUCCAUGAUGAUGAUGAUAAGGCUAUAAAUGGUAAUGUCCCCUGGUUGCGGCGGUGCAGUGGUAGCUUCGGAGACUUGUUAGAUUUAGGCUCGAGCGGAGUCGUGAAGCUUUGGGACAAUCUUGAUUUCAACGGAGAAGGAAGUCACCAUAACGCGGUGGCUUCUUUUUUGAGCAAAUGCGGCUCUUACUCGUUGUUGUCGUCGACGGUUUUAUUAGCGGCGGAGAAGAAAGGAUCCGACGGCCUGGAAGUGAGUGCGUGGGAUGCACGCGUCGGUUUUGGGGUCCCCGCGUUGCUCGCGGAAUGGAAGCAGCCGGGGCGGUUGCUUGGGAAGAUCAUUAGGGUUGACGUCGGUGACGUGGACAAGAUCUACGUCGGUGAUGACGUCGGAGGAGAGAUUACUGUGGGAGACAUGAGGAUGGUUAACGGUGCGUUGACAGAACUGACGGAAUCAGAGGUUGAGGGAAUGGUGAGAAGACGCCGACGCCGACGCCGUCAUUGAUGAGCUGACGGUUCCGUUUGGAAGAUGUAUUGAUGAUAAAUGAUUGGCCCAAUUUGUCUGUCUUGUAAAUAAUUUGUUCAACAUUUUUUUUUUUUUUUGUAAAUAAUUUGUCUGUCUUGUAUUUUUUCAAUUUAGUUUUUAUUUUUUUGGCAAAAAAGAAAUGAAAUAAAUCUCUUAUUUUGUUCUUUUAAAUAAAGAAAUUCAAACUCCUGUUGUCGUGUAUUUUGGAUUUCAUGUUAACCUUUUUUUUUUAGUAGACUCGAAAAUAUAUGAUAACUUUUUUUUUUUGGUUCAUCAACUUGGAAUAUGGAAACGUAUUACCUACGGAAAAGAAAAAUAGCUGGAAACGUGUUAUUUUUGGUUGGAGAUACAAUAUGCGAAAGUUAUGGAAGCAAGAGAUUUGACUUUCAAAUCAACGGAACAAAACGUGUUAUUUUGGUUUUGGACCUUUUGGUCAUUGGAUCUUUAUAAAUUGUAAUGAUCAUAUAGUAUACAUUGCAAGUCUGAUAGGCUAUUAAUCCACCACUUUCGUUGGUCUCUGGACUUUUAGUCAAAACGGGCUUCACUUGUUGUUCUCGUCAAGUUUAUGGGUCAAAAAACCCAUAGGCCCGGAACUUUUUUUCCUGCAUGGAUGAAAGAGGACUCCUCCUUGCUCGUGGUGGUAACAAGCUUAUCGUUCAUCUCGUUUACGAUCAUAGGUUUGAUGGCGUUUGCAACUAACUGGAAAUCUCCUCGGCUCGAGAUGUAAAUAACUCUAGUAGUGAUGCUUGAUGGGAGAUGAUCUCGGCAAUCUUGUCAUAUUUUGUGGUGGGCGAAUCCUUAGUCUUCUUCGAUGAAUGAGUGAGAACGUAGUGAUACUUUUUUUUUUUUUGGUAAAAUGACGUAGUGAUAACAUUAAAAUGGAUCGACAAGCAAGUUAGGAAUCAAAUUUCAAUGAUCAAAGCAAGUGGAGAUCGCCGCUACGAAAAAGCCCUCCAAGUUUGAGUUCAAUCAAGAACUUAACCAUAUCAAUUUACAUGCUUAAAUAAGUUUGAUUUUCUUCUUUCAACCAAAAGUGGCACUUGAUGUAAAAACGUUAAUUUCUUUUUGAAUUUAAUUUAACAUUACAUUAAAAAAAAAACAUUAAAAUUUGAUUAUAUACAGUAAGUAUAUAACUAAACUAUAUCAAAUAUCAAUAAAAAUAUUGUUUUUUUUUCAAAAAAAACAUUGUUAAGAAACUCAAAUAGGUUUUAUAAUGGAUGGAGAUGUUUGAUAGUAUUAACCAAAAAAGGAUUUGAAUCCGGAACGCUAAAGCCCUGAAGUUGAAAAGGGAAGUCCAAUACCAGACCGUCCGUAUCAUCUCAUCUUUCAAACCAAGUGGGUGUCACAAGCUUCCCGAUAAGCGCUUCCUUCAAAUUUUUUUGGUCCAAUCCCUCAAACCGUUUGUGCUACCUUUAGAAUUUUGUUUUUCUAUUAGUUAAAUGGUUUUAGUAAUUGGAUUAGGAAAUGAUAAACGAGCCAAAUUAAUAUUGAUGAUCUCAUAGGAAAUUAAUAUUUUUUCCCAAAAGAAUGAAAAAGAGAGUAGUUGGGAAUUGAGUUUUUGAAAGGAGCCUCCAAAUUCAACAUCCCAAAAUUGACUUAUGACCAAUCAUGAAAUCGACAUGUGGGGGUGCGUUGUAAUCACAUUUACGGUUGGAUUAAGACUAAGAGCAUCUUCAUGGGUGAGAAUGAGAUACUCAUUGGGUAUCUCAACCAUAUAAUACUAGUAGUAUUUUUUUAAAUAUUUUAUUUGGAAAAACUCAUACUACAAUGUUACCUCCAUUAGUGAAAUAUUCUAUGAGUAUCUCAUCUACAUAAAAUUAACAUUUUAAUAAAAGUUUAUAUUCAAUUUUAAACAUAUCAUUUAAUUAUAAUAAACAUUUUGUAAAACAAUAUGAUUAAAAUUACACAUCAUUUUAUCAAAUAGAUUUUAAUUACAUUAGACAUUUUGUAAAUAAUGACAAAAAAAAACACAUUCUUUAUCAAAAUAUCAAAAUGUUGACAAAAUAUCAAAUUAUUUAUCUAAGAUUUAUUUUCUAAUAUUACAGUAUUUUAUUAACUAAAAAUAUUAAUUUAUAUUUAUAUUAACCUCAACUAAUAUCAAUUAAAAAUAAUAUUAAUAUAAAGUUUAAACUUUUGUAUAAUGGAGCUUGAUAUAUAGAUAUUUUUAUUUUAUGAAUUGUAGAAAAAAAAAAAUAAAAAAUAAUAAUCUAUAAACUGUUUAAUUGAUAUUAUAAAUCAUAAAGUAAUUGAUUUUUAAAGAAAUUGUUUAAUCAAUCUAAGAGUGACAUGUAUAUGAGAGAGGGUUUCUCAAAAUUUCUCAACUUUUUGACUAAAAAAUUAUUUUCUUUUUGUUUUUGAUUUUUUUUAAUAUGAGUUUCUCAUAGAAAAACUACCAAUGGAGUUGCUCUAAGUUGUUCUAAGAGUUUCUCUUCUUUCUUUGUCACAACUUUAGUAUCGAAAUUAAUUCGAUGAUUUGUCGUCGAGUUUGAAAAUUCUACACACAUUUUUCUUCUACUGCUUCUCAAUUUAAGCCUCAGUUAUGAAUGCAAUUUCCUCGACUCUUAAUUACCAUCUUAGUGACGAUUUUUUUUAGUUUAGAUGUAGAUUUUAAGAUUAGAGUUUGACACAAAAUCCCAUUACAAAAGUCAUUGUUUCCAACAUAUACCCGACUAGAUUCAUCAAUGAAUCCAACAUAGAACCGCCUACAUAGAUAUUCAACCAUGGAUAAAAAACUUAAAAAGAUCAUAUAUAUAAUAUAUUUGAGGAAUUAUAUUCUUUUUUUUUUUGGUAAGAUGAGGAAUUAUAUUCUACUACAGUAAUAUAUUUAACUUAAUACAACCAAUUAGAUUAGUGCAAGUAUGAAUUGGCAAUAGCCCUCGUGUCCUCUUUAUUUUACAAAGAACGUGUCUCAUUACCUAUGUCUUUGAAUGAUAAAUAUCUUAUUCUCUUUUUCGCAUGUUACUCGCCAAUCGCCAUCCUCAUCAAUCAUAAUAUAAUUCCAUGAUCAUCCGUCUAAUCAUUUAUUAUGAUUUCCUUUUAUUGUUUUUUUUUUUUUUUAUAUUCCAAAAUUAUUUACUAUCGAUAACAAAAACAUCUGCAUAGUACAAAUGGUCACAAGAAAAUAAUACUAAAUAUUAUGGUUUUACAUAAAGCAUCACUAAUCUCGUGUAAAUAGCCAAAUAGGAUAUAAAUAUUAGAGGAAUGUUUGAUCAAACGAGUUGCCAAUUAGCCGACUUGUCUAUUACCUAUUCAAUAAAUUUAAACUACAUAUACUUUUACAGAAACAAAAAAAAAAAAAAAAAAAAAAAGAGGUGGAUCAAAAGACUUUUCAAGAUGAAACAAAAUCAAAGGUCUGUCUCAGUGUUUCUAACGCUUUUAAUAAUGGAAUGGAAGACUCAAUUACACAUACAAAAGAUAAGCCUUGUGUGGUCAAAUCUUGAACAUUUGCAACUUCGACUCAAAGGUAAACGGAUCUCUCUCUAUUCAUUUGAAAGAUUCUAAUUCCACCAGAGCCUCCGGUCAAAGCCAAUCUUCAAACGUUUUUUUUUUCUUUUUUCCAAUAUAGCAGCAAGAACCAACGACUAUUGUACAAAUCUUCAUCCUCUUCUCUUGUAUAUUAAAACAAAACCUCCAUAAGACUAUUCUUCCUCUAGAGCAGAGUUCUGUCUGAAUCCCCCACAAAAGUCAACUUGUCUGUCACAAUACCACAAAAAAAGGACCAUACUCGAAUUACCACAAAAGGGUAGGAGAAUUCUAACUCAUCUCCUCAAAAUGAAACCAAAGUCUUGAUAUUUUUAGAUCUGGAUACCGAAAAACACACAAGCUUCUAAUCAGAACACAUAUGGAGACUGUCUCUGUUUUGCUCUUCUUCUUCCUCUUCCUUCUUGUGGCAGAAGCCAGGAGUACCUACCGGAGAGGUUGCGACGAUUUCACCUGCGGAGAAUUCGACUUCAAGUUCCCUUUCUUUAGCACAACUAUGCCGUCUCGAUGCGGUCUUUUCAAGCUGAACUGCAGUGCAAAUGUCUCAGAGAUACAGCUUGUAGAAGAUGGGCGAUGGUAUAAAGUCAAGAGUGUCUCUCAAGCCAACACGAUAACCAUCACCGACCCGAGGCUUAACCAAAGCUUGACAACCGGAAGCUGCAGUGACUUGUCAAGCUUCUCUAUUCCAGAUUCGCCAUGGCUCAACUUGACCACUUUGUACAAAUGCAACAACAGUAGUAGGAAGAAUGGUUUCAGCUAUGCGAAUUGCAGAGGAGAAGGAAGCAGCUUGUACUACAAUUUGACAGAUGGUCAUGAUGCUUCAGGGUGUUCACCUAUCAAGACUCCAGAGAGCUGGGUGACUCCAAGAAAUGGGAACCAGUCUGAUGUAAAUGCUACCUUCUCUCUUCAUAUAGAACUGCCUGGAGGCUGCUUUCGCUGCCACAAUAACGGUGGAGAAUGUAAGAUGAUCAAAGACAAGUUCCACUGCGAUGGAGGAACCAAAGGUAUGAACACAAUGAAACAUGUUCAUUACUUAGUUACUUCUCCAAUUCUACUUGCAAAACAUUUGGCUAUAUGACUAUAGUUCGAUUUCUGUCCCUUUCUUGCAGAACAAAAAGACUACCAUCAGGAGAUGAGGCUAGGAUUAGGUAAAAAAAGAUGUCCUGUUUUGCUCCUUUGGUUUCAUCCUCCUCCAUGAAUUACUCAAUUUGAAUCAUUUUCCUCUCUAAUUGUCCAUAGCUAUCGGAGGUCCUGUCAUCUUGAUAAUCAUCUUGGUGGCACUCUUUGCUAUCAUCCAUAGGAAUUACAGAAGGAAAGAUGGAUCAGAGCUCUCUAGAGACAACUCAAAAUCUGACGUUGAGUUUAGUCAUGUCUUCUUUAAGAUACCAAUCUUCUCCUAUAAAGAACUUCAAGCAGCAACAGACAACUUUAGUAAAGACAGAUUACUUGGAGAUGGAGGCUUUGGCACUGUGUAUUAUGGUGAGAUGAUCAGUGCGCUAACGGUUCUAAAAAAGUGUAUAAAUCUCUCUGUUAAGCUAAUCUUUUCUUCCCUUUUGAUCUCAGGAAAAGUGCGUGAUGGACGAGAAGUUGCAGUGAAGCGUCUCUAUGAGCACAAUUACAGAAGACUUGAGCAAUUUAUGAACGAGAUAGAAAUCCUCACACGUCUCCAUCACAAGAAUCUAGUCUCCCUCUACGGAUGCACUUCACGCCGUAGCCGAGAGCUUCUCCUUGUCUAUGAGUUUAUUCCAAAUGGCACAGUUGCAGAUCAUCUCUAUGGCGAAAACACGCCACACCAAGGCUAUUUAACAUGGUCAAUGCGCCUGAACAUCGCCAUAGAAACAGCGAGUGCAUUGGCUUACCUUCACGCUUCGGAUAUCAUACACCGUGAUGUCAAGACUACAAACAUUCUCCUCGACGGGAAUUUCGGAGUUAAAGUCGCGGAUUUUGGGCUAUCCAGGUUGUUACCGAGUGAUGUAACACAUGUUUCAACUGCUCCUCAGGGUACUCCGGGAUAUGUGGAUCCUGAGUAUCAUCGGUGUUAUCAUCUAACUGAUAAAAGUGACGUGUAUAGCUUUGGAGUGGUGCUUGUCGAGCUGAUAUCGUCGAAGGCUGCUGUUGAUAUAAGCAGGUGCAAGAGUGAGAUCAAUCUAUCAAGCUUAGCUACAAACAAGAUACAGAACCACGCGACCCACGAGCUAAUUGAUCAGAAUCUUGGAUAUGCAACAAAUGAAGGAGUUAGAAAAAUGACUACAAUGGUGGCAGAGUUGGCUUUUCAGUGCUUGCAGCAAGACAGUACAAUGAGACCCACAAUGGAACAAGUUGUGCAAGAGCUAAAAGGAAUCCAGAAUGAGGAGCAAAAAUGUCAUACCAACGAUCACAGGGAGGAGACAAUAACUCUGCACCCUUCGCCACCAGAUUGGGGUGAGGCUGCACUAUUAAAAAAUAUGAAAUUCCCACGUUCACCAAUCUCUGUGACUGACCAAUGGACAAGUAAAUCAACCACACCGAAUACGAGCGCCUACGAAUUCUAGGAUCCACCAGGUAUUGGUUUCUUUCUCAUUUGUUUCAAUGGAACGAUGUAAGCUGAGGCACCGAGAGAAUGUACAUAGUGACAUAACUUGCACUACCAAUCACCAAUUUUCUAUGUCUAAUUUUGUCUAGUGUAUGUAAUAUUGACUCAAAAGGUAUUUAUAAAAAGAGAAAAAAAAUUGACAGUAAGAGUUAACUUGACUCGCAUCCACAGCUCCGUUACGAUCUCAGUGCUAUCUAUCUACUGAUUCCAGGCCUAUCUACCUUGUUAAUCACUGGAUCUGAUACCAGAAACUAAUUUGGAUAAAAUUAUCUAUAUAAAAGGCAAGAUUCCUAAGGCAUCCAAGAAAAAUCUCUCUAACCAGAAACACAUGUCUUUUCUCAGUGAUAGUUGUUCCUUCAAAGUGCUAAAAGCUUAUAUAACCUGGGGAAGAAGAUCCAAUUACCUUGUGGUAAAUGAAACGCCGAUUUCAAGAAAGAAAAAGGAAAGAAAUCCUCUUCCUUUUCAUAGUUACAGUAGCCUCUAACAUCUGUAGUGCCAACAAAAUUCCAUCCAAAGCAUCUACUUUGACAUUCCAAAAUCGCUUUCUAUAAACCCCACAACCUGCAAAUUUGCACAUAGAGAUCUCAACUAUAACUCUUAGAAUACCACAACGAAUAUGAUCUUCAAUGACUCGCUGAUCAUCAAAAGGGCCAAAAAAGUAGUUUAUUGAUAGUUUACACAUUUGUUAGAAUGACGAGAAAAGGUUACAACUCGAUCACCGCAAGGGAAAAAAUUACGUAACUGGAACAUGCAUGGCAUUGAAUAAAAGAAAACCUAUGAAGCAUGGCUUGAGUCUUAUAAACUUUAUUUGCUUCCAAGAGGGAUAGGGGGAGUGCUGAUCUUAUUAGAUUGAGUUUGUGAUUCUCUCAAACCCAAAUCUUUCUCUUCUUCUUCUCCUCGUCGACUAACUAAACUCUUUCUUUCUUCAUCUCUCCUGUGAUCUUCUGAUUUAUUAGUCUCUGGUGGCAUAACUUGUCGGAAAAAUCUAAGCAUCAUCUCAUAGGUUGUAAAUGUAAUAACUGCUGAUGGAGUUGUCCUCAAGAGAUUAGUGGCACAUCCACGGUACAACCCAGGAAUCCCUUCGCUUCUAAACACCUUCGUGAUGCAAUCAAUGACUCCCGAAUACUUAGUCUCAGCGUUUUUCAUUUGCCCUUGUUCUUGAAGCUUGGCCCUAAUUACCUGUGGAUGUAACAUAAACCCAUUUAAGAGUUGGGUCAGUUAGUUAUGAGCUUAAGAGUGAGGUAAAGAGAACACGAGAGAGAGGAAGAAGACAGACCUCAUGUGGGUAAGUCAAAACAGAGGCGAUCACUUUCGCGAUUGAAGAUGCAAUAGCAACAUUCCCAGGACUCAGAUUCUCGACUGAUGUAUUAUCUGAGAACUUUAAAUAGAUCUGAUCAAAAACUAGUUGGAUUUGGAAACAGCAUAUGAUUAGUAGCAAUAUUUUGCAGGAGGAAUCAUGCUUUACCCAUGUUUGCCAUGUAUUGCUUGAUCUUUUCAUAAGCUGGAAACUGGAUCGCGACAUGGCUUACUCCCGCCAAAGAAGGUAAAAUGCCACUGUUCCAACACAGGAAAAUUUAACCCAUAUAUCUAAAGUUUAACAUAAGCAUGGAAAGGAAAAGGUGUUCACAUUUACGGAAAUUCCAGUUUCAUUUAAGAUACUAACCUGUACAGCCCUCUCAAUCCUUCUUCAUGACAAAUCCUACUAAAUGCAGACAUUACACUUUUGUAAGGUACCACAUCCGGUCUAAUUCCUUGUGUCUGAGAAAACAGAUAAGAGAUUAGGUGAAGUAUAUUUAAGCUGAACCAAAGAAAGAAGACAAAAGUUACCAUUAAUCUUGUCUUAACAACCCAAAGCGGAUUAGUUGCAAUAGAUGUAGCAGCUCCAGCACCAGCAGCAGCUACCACGUUUGACCCAAUACUAAGCUUGCCAUCUAUCAGGUAAAUACAAAAACAGAUGAAAGACCGGAUGACAAGACUUGGUAUACAUUAUUUGGGAAAACAUAUCUGCUACUCUUUGGUUAAGCACAAGCAAAAACAAAGCACGAAAAGAUUUGUAAUUUGUAAGUAAUGAGAACCAACCAUUUGACUGCAGCACAUCCUUUAGCUUCCCAUAAACUGAGAAGUAGACCUGCGCGUGGUACCAGAAUAUUGAUUAAAGGAAAGAACUAAAGAUAUCUAAAAACAGAUGAAUAUCGUUUACAAACAUAACAUAUCUCCAGGAGAAUGUUGGGCACGUAAUCUCUUUUAUGACAGGAUUCCCUUAAAGAAACAAAGUUGGGGAGAGAAAAGUGGUGCUUACAGCCCAAUUAGGGAGGAGAGCUAUGAUGGUUGGUGAAAGCCCUCGAUACAUUCCCCUAUAACCUUCUUUCUGUACUAUAUUCUUCAAACUUGUAAUGAUUACACCACCUGAUAUAUUACAAACAGAUGUAGCUAGUUAACACCUAUAGACAACAACUCAAGAGAGAGAGCCUUGAUCAAACAUGCAACAACUUCAACAGAAACAAAACUACUUGCAUUUGCAUAAACACAAUCUGAUAUCAUCACAUUAGAUCUACAACUACAUAUUAAACUACUUAAUUCUUACACAAAUUAAGCACAGUUUUUAUGAAGCAAGUAGUACCUCUUUGACCAGAGGCCGGAGUUUCAGGGAGACCAAGAACCUGUAACCUUGUUUUGAUCACAUCUAAUGGACAAACGAAAGUCGCCGCGAUAGCCCCUGAAAAAUCCCCAAAUCAACCAACAAUCAGCGACCAGCCAUCCACAAGAACCAAAAGACGAACUUGAAAACAGAGAAUCGAACUGACCAGCGGUGGCUCCGGCGCCGGCGUUUACGGCGACCUCUCUAAUACUCCGGUAAUCAAAGGUUGAGUUCCCAUGUUCAAUCAUCUUAAAACCCUAGAAUCUCUCAAUUGGUGGGAAAAUUUUAAAGGAAUCUGACUCAAAAAUGAAAACGAGAUCCAGCAGUAGAUGAUAAUAAACUCGGCCACGAGAAUCGAUGAAUAUAUACAAUUCCCGUCGUUCUUGACAUUGACCCGACCCGGAGGAAAAAAUCGAACGUGUAGACGGGUAAAGGAAGAGACUUUGUUGCGUACGAUUUAGGCGGUCCCAAGUCGAACGAAAGGAUCGAUUUUUUGAUUCCGAAGAAGAGAAAGAGUCGUCACAGUUGGUUUGAGAUGACGUCACGCAUUAACAACACACAACCCAAGAAGAGAGAAAGUUGAACACUUUUGGCCUCUAUCUGAUUAUGUAGUUAAAUCUGAUUGAAUUCGAUAUAAUCUGAUCAGACCAAGUUAAACCGGUAACUCAACAGUUUAACCGAUUUGGUUUGGGUCCGCUCAAACUUUGAAAAACAAAUUAAAAAAACUGCAUCGGCGACCAGCUUCACACUUCUGAAAUCAGAUUCUGUAGAAAUGGGAAAUCUGAAACUUGCUUUGAUCAUCAAGAACCCUAGAGACGACGUUGAGUUCCUGCUCGAGAAGGAAAAUCAGCCGGCGAAAUUUGGAGAGGAAGCUUAUGAUUCCUUUGUCGAUUCCGAUCUCUGGGACUUACCGUCAACAGAUUUACUGGCUUUGGAAGACGGAGUCAGGUCCGGAUUUAGUAUCUCUAUACUUGAAUCAUGUUCUGAGGAGGUUGAUUUGAUGAAUUUCGACUUCGAAUCCACACUGAUUCUGGUAAUUUAUGAGUUUAGCACUGUCCUCAUUUUCUCAUUGUUUCUGUGAGUUAAUGUUUCUAAGUAAAUGCAGCUGUUGGCGAAUUUAGGGAUUGGUAUUAGCGAUGUAGGAGAGUGGAGAUUUGUCAGGUCUGUAGAAGAGCCUGAGUUUGGACCUGACUCUUGCGUCCGUACUUGUUUUAUCUCCGGGAAGCUCUUGAAUACAGAUCGAAGUUUACAAGGUCGCCCUUAACUCGAUAGUAUACAAUCUUAAUCUUUCUUUAUUUCCACAUUUCCAGAGCUUAUGGAAAUAGCUUCACUCGAUUCGAAAGAAACAUUGAGAACUGGAAACUGAAAAAAGUAAACUUAGUUGUUAAUUUUGUUUUAGUGCAGACAACUGUAAGUGGAUGUCCAUGGAAGCAUGCUUUGACUCUCUUAUAGAUGUGAAACCGGGCUGUGAUCGUGUUGGACCAUUAGUACUACUUGGACUUGGGGAUGGUUCAUGUCAGUCCUUGAAGCAGAAGUUGUCAUCUUCUUUGCCUAUUCAGGUCUCUUGUUGCUAGACUAUCUAUACUUGUCUUCUUCAUCAAAGUGGUUCCAUCUUAUGAUGUUAUUCUUUUUAGUAAUCCUAUUUUUUAUGUCCUUUUCAUCUCAGGAAUAUCCACCUGGUGUUAUGCUUGUGCCAAUGCGUAGCAGAACAUUGAAACCUUUCAAGACAACAAAUUUGGUUGUAUUUGCUCCAGAAAAUGGUUCAGGGGAUCAUCAAGGGACUGAUUUUGUAGCUCAUGGAGAUGCGUUGAUAGUAGAUCCUGGAUGUCUCUUCAAACUCCACGUUGAGGUUUGUCACCAGCUAGUAGCUACUACCUAUGUGUUGUUUUCUCUCUUCGUACUAGAUUCUUUACUUCUUUUCCGAAUGGUACAAAAAAGCAUCUCUCCAAAGAUCUGGUCUUUACAUUUAUCAUUUUAAACUAUUCACAACUGCUUUUUUUUUUGUCUUAACAAGCUCAAGAAAAUCGUUGAUGCUUUACCUAGAAAGCUAAUUGUCUUUGUUACACAUCACCAUCGUGAUCACAUUGAUGGUAAAGAUUUGUUUUUCCGUCGUGGUUUGGUGGCUUCUUUUGUUUAUGCCAAUGUUCUUCAUCUUUAUCUGUGUUUCAGGUCUUUCUGCUAUACAAGAGAGCAAUCCUGAUGCUAUUUUAGUGGCACAUGUUAAAACUAGGCAUCACAUUGGUAUCAUCAUUCUUCAAUAUUGUUUUCCAUUCAUAAAAUCCAACUUCUUAUGUUCGAAUACUCUGUGAUUCCAGAUGGUUGGUCUGGUAACUAUACCCCAGUUUCUGGAGGAGAAAACAUCUAUGUCAAUGGUCAUAAAUUGACCGUCAUUUUUGCUCCGGUACCUAUCCAGCUAUUUUAAAUCCUUAAAUAGUCCUCAAAUUUGCAGCUCUGAUGGAAAUUAUACUUCUUUAAUGAACUCUUAACCAAGACAAAUACUCCAGGGACACACAGAUGGCCAUAUGGCACUAGUUCAUAUCUCCACUCAAUCUCUGAUUGUUGGUGAUCAUUGUGUUGGGUAAGACAAGCAACUAAAAUUUAUGUUGCCAUAGGCUAAUUCAAAUCGGUGAAAUUAGAUAUAUUAACUCAAAAAAUGUUAACUCAUUUUGGGUUGUUUCAGUCAAGGAAGUACUUUCUUGGACAUCAGGGGAGGUGGUAACAUGACAGUAAGUACUAAGUAUGCUCAGACUGUUUUAUGUUUUGAAUACUUCAAUGUGAUAGAUUGGGAUGUUUUCUAGUAGCGUUUUGUUUCCAAAUUUUCUCUUUUAAUGUUAGGUGUUGGGUAAGAUAGUAAAUGCAUUUUUUUAUUACUUUGUUCGAAAUUUGUUUAGUCAUUUACCGAUAGUUCCUUAAUUUCUGUUCCUUUGCAGGAAUACUUUCAAUCGACAUAUAAAUUCCUGGAGCUUUCUCCAAAUGUGGUGAUUCCCAUGCAUGGAAGGGUCAAUCUGUGGCCGAAACACAUGCUUUGUGGAUAUCUCAAGUAUGAAUAAGAAUAUGCUGUAGUGGAUAAAUCUGAUGUUUGAAAACCUGAUAAUGUUUGUCUAUCAGUUGAUCAGAUAGAAUAGGCUGAACUUAAUAAAUAAUAAUACAUUGAUCUUGUUUUUCAGAAACCGCAGAAGCAGAGAAGAAUCAAUCCUAAAGGCAACUGAGGAUGGAGCUCAGACGUUAUAUGACAUUGUUGCUAACGUGUACUCAAGUGUGGAUCGCAGAUUCUGGUGGGCUGCAGCAUCAAACGUUAGGCUGCAUAUCGACAAGCUGGCUGUAGAAAACAAAUUACCAGAGGUAAAACUCUUCUUUAAUUCCAAAUGCAUACAAUAACUUACAUUCUUAGGAAACAUAUCUCAAAAAGACAACCUUAGUUCGUAGCAAAGUUACUACCACUGCUUCACUGCUUAUUGUAUUGAUUUGAUCCAGGGAUUCUCAAUCCAAAAAUUCAAAGCAAGUUGCGGAUUGCGUUUUGCGAUACGGUGGACAGUGGGUUAUAUCAGAAGCAAGAUUCCGUUCAAGAUCAAUAAGCCAGGUUUCAUUAUGUCAGUGAUAGCUGCAGGAGCUGGAUAUUUUCUUCUGUACACAUCAAAAAAGAAGAACCAGAUUAAAUCGUGAUGAGUAAGUCAUAGUAAAAGAUUGUGGGAUCUAAAAAUCAUAUAAAAUGUUAGUAAAUUUGGUAAUAACCUGUUUUAAGAACUUCGACUUCAUUAUUAGAGUUAGAGGUAAUAAAAACACUUCAAAAUGGAUAGUUGACUACUUCUCAAAUUUGUAGUAAGAAAUUCUAAACUGUCGUUUCGAUAAAUAUGGAAACUUCUCAUAUUCAUUAAUAAAAUACAUUUUUAGUUGACAUUUAUAAGAUAAUUGUAUAUUAACAUUCAACUGAUUUUUGAGAUUAGUUUCUCGAGCAAGAGAUGUCCCAGCUUAUUAUACCUGGAUGAUACUUUAAAUUGAUCCUCUGAGAAAAGCGAGUAGACUUUGCAAUUUAUUUUUUAUUUUGUGUAACAAACUUUUCUCUAAUGCAUAUAGAUUAGACCUAAGAUAUUAUUAAGGUAACCGAAUUAUAGAUUCCUAGAAGCCAUUAAAUUUCGAAAAAAGGAAAUUGGUAAUUUUUUUUUUGAAAUUGACCUAGUAAAAGUGUAAUUAGAAACGGAGUAGAAAAAAAGAAAAAAAGAAAAAAAGGAAACAAUAGGCGUUUCACAAAAAAAAAAAAAAAAAAAAAGAAACAAGGCUUUGAGUGAGAUUGUGCGAUGGAAUAAGAUAAACGGUUAAGAUGAAACAUAAAGCAAUCCAACGGCUAUUAAUUCACCGACUAACUUGAAAAUGGAAAAUGUUUUAUGAACCCGGGAAAAUGUAAACCCCCUAUCACAUGCGCAUUUUAGCGACUCUCUAAACAAAUGUACCGAAACUACCCUCCGAUGCAGCAUUGAUUUCCAAAAAAAAACUCUGAGAAUUCUGGUAUAUAUACACGAAGCUUUGUAUCAUAACAAAAAACUAAGCCGAGAAAAUAAAAUAAAAAACAGCACCGCCGGUAACAAUUUUCCGGCGAUUCUGAAAAAUAGACGAUUUUUCUUGAGUUUGUUUGCGGAAGAGAAAGAGAUUGAUUCGUUCCUUGUUCUUGGAUCGAAUAGAGUAAGUGCACCAGAAUCAAUGGUAUUUCCCGGUGAGAUGGCGGCGACGACGACGACGAGACCUGAGCAACGAUCGAAGACUCUUCACAAUUUCCCUCUCCCGAACUUAUGGGGGAAUCAGAGACAUCUCAAGUGCAUGAAGAUCGACUCUAUCAGCAACGGAGGUUCCGGCGAUCACCGACUACGACGCCGAUCUCCGCCUUUGAAAUUCGCUGAUUCUUCCGUCUCGAUCCCGUUUCGAUUCGGUAACUCUGAUCAUCGUCGACCGUUUAAAUCGGGAAGCGAAGAAGGGAUCGAAGAGUUCAGGGUGAAGAUUAUGUCGGAUCUGAAGACGGUGAGAGAUAAGAUCACACAAUCGAUGUUUAACAAAGACGUAAUCGAAGAGGAAGAAGAAGAAGAUAUCGACGGUUCUGGUUCCGGUCAAGAGAAGGAGGUUUCUCCGGUGAAGCCAUGGAAUCUAAGGAAGAGAAGAGCAGCGUGUAAGGAACCGGAAUCCAACAGUUUGAAUCAUCAAAUCUAUAAAGGAUUUGUAAUUGAGGAGAAGAUAGUGAAGAAUCAUCCAUCUCCGGUGAGAGGCGGCGGAGUGGUCGAAGCGGAGACGACGAAGAAGAUGCGAGUUAAGUUCUCUGUGAAGCUAUCGAAGAAAGAGAUCGAAGAAGAUUUCAUUGGGAUUUUAGGUCACCGACCACCGCGUCGGCCCAAGAAACGGCCUAGAACUGUUCAGAAAAAACUCGAUGUAAGUGUUGGAUUUUGCAAUUUUUGGUGAAAGAUUUGAAAAUUUGUUAAGAUUUUUUUUCUUGAAAUUGAAAAUUUGGAAUCUUUGUUUGUUUGCAGAGUUUGUAUCCAGGGUUGUAUUUGACUGAAGUGACGCAUGAUGCAUAUAAGGUUCCAGAAGAAACCAAGGUAUAAUCAUCAAUCAUCAUCACGGGUUUUUAAAAGCAUGAGACUUUUUUCGUUUGAAAGAUUCUGAUUCUCUGUUGGUUUUACAGAAUCUGCAGAGAUGAUGAUGAUGAUGAAUUUGUGUAAUCUGGAAUUGAGGGUCAAGUUCUUGAAGCUCCUUCUUCCUCUGCUAAUUGUCUUUUUUUUUUUUCUUAAUUAAUUCUUUCUUCUCAAUUGUUCUGAAUAAAAUUGUACAAAAAGGUUAUGGGAAUGUUUAGGUUCCGGUUGAUUAAUACAUAAUAAAGUUUCUUCUUUCUGAGCAAAUCUUGACUGUUGUGAGGGAAAAAUUCCUUUUUGUAGCUUUUAAGUGUUCUCUGUCGAUCUCAAUCUCAAUCUCAAUCUAAAUCUCACAUGUGUGAUUAACUAGUGAAACCAAACCAAGAUUUGUUUCGAGUGAAAUUGAUGCACCGACAGAGGAAAUUCCAAAAUUCUUGUGUGUAAUGAUUAGACAACAAAAGGCAAGCCUUUUGUUUCCCUUUUCAUCUACUUGUGUGCAUUAAACUGACGAGGAACAGCUUAAUGUGUGAAGAAGAGAGUUUUCUGGUUCAAUGUGUUUGAGGUUGAGUCAAAUAAGGAACCUUUGAGAUUCAAUUCAGUGCAAGGACAAUGAUUCCUCCGAAAAGCUGAGACCAAUUUGGUUUUGUGGGGUGUGUUUUGUUUUCCCGCGUUGGCUUAUUUCCGCUUUCGUGAGUUGAGUCUUUUGACUCGUUCUUUCUUGGUUCACUUCUUCCGGUUUGGUUUUAACAAAGAUUUAAUUAAUUGCUGUGCUUAACUUGACUCUUCUUUAAUAGUGGUUUCAAGUUGACUCGGUAAUGGUAUGUAUUACUAAUUUAUAUGUUGAAUACUAAUCUAUGGCCAAAUAUAUAAUUCAACUUUGUAAUAAUCAGAUCUCUUAAGAAUUGUGGGCCUUAUGGACAACAAAAAAGCCUUUAGAAUUGUUGGUUUGAUUCUUUUGGUAUUUAGGGCUUGAUUGGUUCUCCCGCUAUCACCCUCCUAGCGGUUGCUAGCGGUCGGUUGUGGUUGUUAGCGGUUGGUACCAAUCAUAGAAACCGCUCCGUACCGCUUCGAACCGCUCGAAAUCGCUAAAUUUCAAAAGCUCCUUCCCGCAAGCGUUUGCGGUUGCGGGCGGUAGCGGUUGGAUUAAAAAAAAAAAAAAAUCAAACAUUUACUUAUAAUUAUUAUAAUAUAUAUAUUAAUCCUAUAUAUAUAUAUAUUUCAUCUUUGUAUCACGUUAACAUCAGAAACCCUAAUCAAUAUUCUGAAACCAUAUUCUCUCAAUGUCUUCUACCCAAACUGAUGAAAAUCAAGAACCAAACGUAAGUAUCAUAUAUCCUUUUAUUCAUUCAUCACCUCAUGUGUAACUCUUUGAAUAUUUUUGCAUCGUUUUUUUCUUUUCAUUAUGUAUUGCUUUACUUUUUGAUUGAGUAUAUGUUUCGAUUUGUUUUCUCGAAUAGAAACUCACUUGCUUUUUGAUUGAAUUCAACGUUAUUUAGAGUUUGUCUCAUUACUUGAUGCAAUUUUUGGUGUUAAACCAUAUGCAUAAAGUAUUAUCUUGUUACAAUUUUUUUUAUUUUUGAAUAAUUAUUUAGUACUUUAUUUAUGGUUUUAAUUAUUAAGCAUGUUCAAUUUUUCUAAUAUUAUCAUAAUAAUAUAUUGGUGUUUUUAUUUCUUUUUUUUGUAAUAUUUUUUAUUUAUUUUGGUCAUUUUUUAAUUUAACUGCUACCGCACCCGCUGGUUUACCAGUCAUAAAACUCCCGCAAACGCAUCCAUUUUCAAACGCUAAACCAGUCGUUCAAAACGCUUGGUAACGCUUAUAACCGCAACCGUCCGCUUCCGCAAACUCCCGCAACCGCAACCGCAACCGCUGCGUUUAAACCAGUCAUGCCCUUAAUUAUUUAUGUAUACGUAUUCGUAUUGAACUAAUUGGAGGAUUGGUUUCCUUGGGAAGCAAGUAUUAUUAGGGUAUAAGGGAUUUGCUAGAGGAGAUGCAGCAAUCUGCAAGAACAAUGAAUAAUGGUAUGUCUUCAACAUCUGGCCCAGGAUUCAAGAGCUGCUCUCCCUGAGUCUCUUUAUUUACUGGAGCUUUCUCCUUGCAAAAAAUGUAAGAAUGAAGUCUAAAUGGAAUUUGCCAAACACAAAUCCCUCGCCUACCAGAAGUUACCACAAGAACACUCGCCAUUCCGGAAAUGAUGAAACCUCUUCCUGUCUCUCAAGAUAAUGUCUCGCUGCACCACCUUCGACAAGAACCUAAAGAAAUUGUGACAAUCUCCGCAAGUCCUUAAGUUCUUAAAAAUCCUAAUGGUUGUUCCAGGAGGAAGUUUCAUUAGCCCAAAAGCAACCGCAAUCUUCUCACUAUGAGUUGUCAACAUGUCUUCCUUGUGACCAUCAGACUCUACGUCGUGCAACACGAAGCUCGUGUCUGGUACAUACCCGAGUCUCCUCAUCUCUUUACCCAGGUCUUGAAGAUACUUGUAAACAGCUUCUGCUUCUGGAUGUGAUGUAUCAUCAACCAGAAAUGUAUGCACUUGUGUCUCCAUUUCAAUCCAACUACAAGCCACUUCCUUUUUUACCCCUCGAUCCCGCAUUAGUUUACGUACCCUUGCCACUUCCUCCCACUGGCCAGUAGCUGCGUACAUGUUUGAUAACAGCAUGUAUGUCCCAUCAUGUUCUGGUAUGAGACCGAAGAGUUUGUCUGCAGCGAUGAUCCCUAGUUCCAUGUUUCCAUGGACUCUGCAACCAGAAAGAAGAGCUUCCCAAAUUUCUGCAGUAGGUUUGAAAGGUAAUGAUUCGAUUAUACUUUCAGCUUCAGAGAAUUUCCCAGAACGGCAAAGCAAAUCGAUCAGCCUUGCGUAAUGAUCUGCACCUGGAGGUAUACGGUAAACAGUCUCCAUAGAAUUGAAAUAUUUCCGUCCCUGGUCCACUAAACCCGCGUGGCUACAUGCUGUCAAAACUGUAAGAAACGUAAUCCGAUCGGGUCUUAUCCCUUUCUUUAACAUCUCCUCAUACACAUCUACUGCUUCAACACCAUGGCCAUGCUGUCCCAGUGCAGCAAUCAACGCAUUCCAGGAAACUGAAUCCAGACAAGGCAUAGUUCGAAACACCUGUUGAGCUUCCUCCACAACCCCGCAUUUCGCAUACAUAGUAAUGAGAGCGUUUCCAGCAGAGAGGCUAGAGUCAAACCCUAUUUUAACUAACUGUGCAUGGAACUGUUGCCCGUUGCAAUACGCUCCCAGCACGGCACAUGAUUUGAUUGCCCCAGAAAACGCGUAAUCACAAGGCUCAAAACCUUCUCUCUUCAUACAAGAAAACAGCUUCAAACCUUCUUCUCCAAACCCGUUUUCAGCUAACCCAGAUAUCAUUAUCAUCCAUGACAGAAUAUUCUUCUCUUUCAUCUCUUUGAAAAUCAACUUCGCCUCACCUAUGUGCCCAGAACUAACAUACCCUGAUAACAACGCAUUCCAAGAAACCAAGUCUUUUGCCGGCAUUUUCUCGAAAAUGGCUCUUGCCUCAUUAAACUUACCGCAUUUGUAGUAUAACGUAACUAAAGAAUUGUCAAAAUGAAACGAGAAAUCCUCCCUUCUUAAUACAUAAGCAUGAACUUGCUUUCCCAACUGAAGCAAUCUAGCAUUGGCACACGCCCUUAUAACGCUAGGAUAUGUAAACUCGUCAAGCUCAAUUCCUGAUGAAACCAUUCUUCUAACCAUCUCCAAUGCCUCCUGAUACAAACCGCAAUUAACAUAACCAGAAAUCAUAGCAUUAUAAGCAACCAGCUUCAUAUUCUCGUCCAUCCCCUUGAGCAACUCUUUCCCUAAAUCGAAACAACCAUUCUUUACAUAACCCGUCAUCAUAGUCGUCCAUGACCUCUCAUCUUUCUCAGGGAUAUCAUCAAACACUUUUCUAGCUGAAUGUAGCAGAGACGGCGAAGAAGCACAUCUCGAAUACACAGACACCAGAGCGUUCGAUACCGAAGUAACAUAACCAGCACCAGAUUUCAGAGCUGCGGCAUGAAAUUGCACACAUUGCUUCUCAUCAUCGACAACUAGCGCUAAACCUGCAAGAACACUUGCGUAAGUGAAGUCAUCAGGUUUAAAUCCUUCAUGCUUCAUCUUACAAAACAGGUUAAUAGCAGAGUAGCCAUCAUUGUUAUGUGAGAAGCCAGUGAUCAUCGCAUUGUACAUCACAGUAUCUCGCAUACUCACAGGAGUCUCCUCGAAAACCGACCGAGCGAGGGCGAUGUCCCCAGAAGCACAAUACCCGGAAACCAUGGUGGUUCUAGCGAUUUUAUCUGGUUCAGAGAUUUCAUCGAACAGUUGGCGUGCAUAAUCAAGCUCUGACGAUUUACAAUAAACAUCAAUCAAACGGUUCAGGAUAUGGGCAUGUGGCUGGAACCCGAAAGUAAUGAUAUUUCCAUGGACAGCUCGCGCGAGUUGCAGAGACGUUCGUCGGAGCGGCAAACAGAGGCGGAGAUUCGCGGCGUAGCGGUUGGCGAUGGCUCGGACAAGGUCUGGAUUCGGUUGCAUUUCAUGUUUGUGGUUCGGUUCAAAUUUCUCAAACCGUACCAAAUCUAUCUCGUUUUUAUAUUAGCCAUCUUCGGUUAAAUUUAACCAAAUCUGUACCCAAUCAAAUCACUCCGGUUUAGAUAUCCGUCCAAUAAUUCGGUUACAUUUGGUUAAAGUAAAACCGCGUCUCCUCCACACCAUUAAACCCUAAGGAGGUCUCAUUCCUCGUUUCUGUUACUUUGUCAGCUCCGUCGCCAUGGUUCUCAAAGACGAUAACUCCGAGAAAUCUAUCGAACUCUUCCUUAGCAUUGGUUUGGACGAGAAAACAGCUCGUAAUACCAUUAACAACAACAAGGUCACCGCCAAUCUCACCGCCGUUAUCCACGAGGUGUGUUCUCUCUUCCUCCUCCUUCUUUGUGUUGGCUAUCGGCUCUUGUUGUAUCUGAUCAAAUUGGAUACAAGAGGACUAAGUUUUUCAUUUUCCUUUGAGAAAGUCUUGCUUUCUUUCAAUCUGUUGACUAAAUCCAAUUUUGAUGUAAUCUCAAUUCGAAAUGUUUAGUUUGAUGAUUUUGACUCCGUUGCAUGUAUGAUUCUGUUGAUGAUUUGAUCUUUUACCUCAUCAAUUGGAUUAUCGAAAUUCGCUUUUCAUGAGGCUUUAUCUUGUGUACAGGCUGCUGUUACUGAUGGGUGCGAUCGAAAUACUGGAAAUCUUUUAUACUCGGUGAGAUAUAUUUCUAAUUAAACCUAAAUUGCCUUGAAAUUUGUUUCAAAUGCUUAUAAGGAACUUAUUGAGGUUAUGUUUUCUUUGCAAUUAUGUGUAACAGGUCGCUACUAAGUACCCUGCAAAUGCUCUUGUGCAUCGUCCUACAUUGCUCAAGUACAUUGUUACCUCUAAGGUUGGUGUAUAGAUCCUUUCUGCUGCUCGAAUGUUAUCUGUCAGUACUUGGGUUAGGUUCUGUUUC